ACAACUAAAACAAAUAUGGGCAUUUAGCCCAAUAACAAAAGGAGGCCGGCCAUAGCAAGGGUAGUGGGAAAUUUUGCUUAAUUGCAAGUUUGCCACUAACCUAAGAGAUGAAGUAUAAAGUCAUCUUUAUAGCUUUGUUUCUCAUAAGGGUUUUCUAAUAGAAAUUGGGUGAAACAUUUUCUCUCAUUUUUUCUACAUAGAGGCCGGCCACUUAGAAGAUUUUUACUAGCAUCUAAAAUCUCUAAGUCAUCCAUAUCAUCUUCACAAUAUACAUCUUUGGUGAAGAGACUUAGAGACAUCAAGCUUUUGAUGUUUUUGGAGAACAAAUCCUUAUUUCCUUAAAUCAUCAAAGGAGCACUAAAGGGAGGAAAACACAAGGAGGAUUCAAAGAGCUUGGAGGUGACUUGAAGGCCCUCCACUUGGGUGAAUCCCUUGUGUAAUCAAGGAUGAGCUUCAAGGGUAAAGAAUCACUAAAUCUUUACUUCUCUUUAAUGUAGUUAAAGAGUUUAUUUUGGUUCACCAUAUACUAGGCUUUGAAAGUCAUGGGUUUUAUGAAUUGUUUUUGAAUGCAUGCCUACUUUAAAGUGUUGAUAGCUUGCAUGUGUAUUCAAAUGUUCAUACUUGUUCUUAGCUAGGACAAAUUUUUUUUUCCUUCAACUGCAAGAAUACCUAACUCUUCCUCAUCUCCGAGAAUGCAUUUUCAACAUAGCAACUCGAAAUACUCAGUUUUCUUCCUCUCCGAGAAUACCUCUUCAAACAUGUCACACCAGAGCAAGAUUAUCACAUAUCUUCAGGGACCAGAGCAAGAUUAUCUCAUAUCAUGCAAUCUCCCUAUCUUUUCCUUUGUCCUUGUUCUUGCCUGCAAAGACAAGGAUAAAGAAAGCAAUAUGUCGGAACCUCCACUCAAACUCCCGGUAAGGAACCGACUGCCUGGAACCUUUCCUGAUUGCUUACCUAGUAUUGCUCUCGAGUAGUCAUCUUCAACGGUUGGAGCUGGGUCUCCAGUCACCAAGAAGUGAUGAACCAUUCAAAUGCAAGGGUUUGCAUUCCUCUCCUGCAUCAGGGGACAAAUCCUACAAGAGAAGAUGCCACACAUGUAGGGGAAAACCAGGGAAAAUACCACUUAAGCAAGGGGAGCAAGUAAGACAAGUGAAAAUGAUACAUUGAAGCAUGUGGAGACAAGCUCAACAAACACGUGCUGAUUCAUCCCCGACAAAACCAAAGAUCACUUGCCACAUGAAGCUCUUAACGGUACAAUUUCAUUCAAGAUCAAGCCUCGAAGUCUUUGAAAAAAAUCAUAAGUCCGAUUCAAGAUCAAGUGUCCACCACUUUUGAAUCAAAUUCCGCUCCAGAUAAAAGGAGUAAAUUCAGAUCUUCGAUGCUAGUCUAGCAGAAAGUCCUACAACCCAGUUCAAGAUAAAGCCUGUGGAAAGUUAACAACAAGUAAAGCAACUCUUUCAGCAACUCUUCUUACUAAGAGACUAAAGCAGAACGAUCAACGAUCAACCUAAAUGAUUUGAAAUCAGAGGGAGAUACUCAUCAGGGGGAGCAUCCAAGACAGAUCAAGAUUUUAACGAGUCAAUCGAAGACUUGUGGCCAUCCAAGGGGGAGUGUUGUAAAUAUUAUGUGCAUGGUCCACAUGAAUAGUUUGUUACUAUUUAUGCACAGUAUUUUCACUAUUCAUUUGUGGAAAAUUUGUAAAGUGAAUAGUGCUUUCUUUUGUUUAUAUAAAGGAAGAAGAGGAGAUGAAGUGAUUAGGGGUUCACGGGAGAAAAUAAGGAAAAAGGAAGAAAGGAAGAGAGAGAGAGAGAGGAAAGAAGAGGAAGAGAGGAAGAAGAGGAAGAUGAGGGUGAGAUAUAAAGAGAGUUAUCUUUGUACUCCUAUUAUUUCAAAUUAUAAUGAAAGCACCACUGCUGCCCCGAGGACGUACUCCAGUCACACUGACUGUAGAGGAACCUCGUAAAUUUUGUGUCUUGUUUCAUUUAUUCUACUGCACCCACAGUCGAUUUCACAACAGGGAUAAGGUAAUUAGAACAGCUGAUAAUUGUACAAUGAGAGGCUAUUCUAGUGUUAAGCAAAUAAACAGUUCUGAAUAUGAAAGUUGUACAGUGAAAACACGUUAAUGGUAAAUGAUGGACAAUGUGGUAUUGUCUAUUGUAAUUAGCAGCUUGUCGCUACAAUGCGGGAGGCUAAAAUUUCUAAUUUCCUUGUCAUUGUAAGUAUAUAGGUCAGUGCUUAUCAACUAUCGUGUACUUUCCUUUCAAUUAACGUGAGCAUGCAUACAAUAAAUACAAAUGUUUUUGUCUGUUGUGAACAUUCCUAGUUUAAGUAUGAUUGUGUAAAUUCUAGAUUUGAUUUGAUUUUAGUCAUCAUUUCCUAUUACAACUUGUAUUACUUGGAGAAGAAGGAAUAUUUUCUCUCCCUUUACUACUAUAAAUAAAGGCACAAUGUAGGAGGGAUAACAACACACAUUCCCCUACAAUUCUACAAACACACAUCUCUCUUCCCUCUCUCCAGUGCCGCCGGCCCCUCUCCCUUUGUCAGAUAAAAAUAGAUCACAACACGUUAUCAGCACGCUCCUACCGCUGCGCUUAGGAAUUUGAUGUUGGAGAUUUUUUUUCUGCAUCAAACCAGUUCAUCCAUAUCAUCACGCAAUCAGGUUCUUUCCAAACAACGACUUUUAACUCGAUAUUUUGCAAGCCCUGAUAGCAUGAACACCAUGAUGCAUGACCCAACUUUACGUUUAACGUAUUUUAGAUUCUACAUAAAUUGUGUAUGCCUCAUAACCAAAAUUGCUGCAAUUAUGUGAAUUUGAUAUUUGUCAUGAAUUGAAUCUUACAUAUGUACAUGCAUUGAAAUUAUUAUUUGCAUAUGCAUCAAAGUAAAUAUGUGAUUCAUUGAAUUAUAUAUGCAUCUAAUUGAAUUAAUGGAAAAAAAAGAGAAAUUUUUUGCGAUUGGGACCUAGGGUUCUUUCGAACCCGUGACCACCAUCCUGCAGAUGGGGUCUCCAUGCCAAACCGAGAGCCUGCAACUCUCCUCUUCUCCAGAAAACCCAAAAAUCUGACACUUUUCAUGGUGUCCCCGACCAUGGCAUGGCCUGCAGCCACAACCCUGAACCUUUGUUUCAUAUUCCUGACGACCUGAAGUCGUCCCAUGUUAGCAAUUGAACCGAGAUUCACCGGAAUCUCAUCGGAAUUUUCUCGAAAAUUCGAUUUCAAUUUUUAGGGUUUUAUAGUUGUUGAAACGUUGAGAUUCUCUUAUCUCCGUUGUUGUCCAUGACAACCGUGACUCACUCCGAGCCUCAACAACCCCGACACGACCACCUGCAGUGGCGCUGUCGAUCAAAAUCGAUGUUCUUCCCCGGUGAUACACACCUAGCACACGCUGGGGUGUUUUUGGUUCAGACCCGAGCCCAUUAGGGCUUAGAGGGACACGGUCACAAACACCAGCCUUCCGGGCUUUGGUGUUUUGCUUGAAGCUUUGCCAUCUGGGCUCCUAGAUUGCAACCCAUCCAUUUGGCCCAUUUGCUUCUUGGCCUGAUGAAAAAAAAAAACAAUUUUUUUUUGUUUUUUCUAGGCUCGCCUGCAGCGGCCUAGCAUGAAAAAAAAAGGGGAAAUUUUUUUUUUUGCUGCCUACAGCAGCCCAUUUCCCUUGCCAUGUCUCCUCAUAAGCCUGUAGCUCACCCAUAAGCCACCCGUGGCUUAGUGUUUUCUUUUGGACCCCGAAUUUUAUUCGUCUAAAUUAUUUUAGACCUAAUGGGUUUUAUAUUUUUCCACCCACACUUUAAUUUGGCCCGAAGUCUAAAUAAUUAAUUCAAUUAUAAUUAUACAAUACUUUUGCAUAUACUUGUUGCAUAUUUGUUUGCAUAUAUAUUUGCGUUUGCCUGCAGGAAUAUAUGAACCUGAAGUUCAUAAUUACUUUGAAACUUGAAGUUUCUUAUAAACAUGCCUUGUUUGAAAACCUGAAGUUUUCACUUAAACAUAUCACCCAUGAAAACUAGAAGUUUUUUCAUGCAAAAUUCAAUCAAUACAUGUCUAUUAGAACCUAUAUGUUCUACUCCUAUGUGAAUGGAUUGAUUUUUUUCCAUUACACUAACCACAUCUUGUCCAUCUAUUUUGUGAUAGGAACAUGUCAAAUUUGAACAAACUCGACUUCACCACUUUGGAGGUCUCUGGAAGGAACUACCUCAAGUGGGUUCAAGAUGUGAAGCUCCACCUCACUGCAAAGAACUUACGUCCUGCUAUUGAAGAAGCAACAGAUGAACCUAUUAGCGAAGCUAAAAAUUGAAGGGAAAUCUAUGAGAUUCAUGGAUGGGAUUUCUAAAUGACUAUCAUGCAUAUACAAAUCAAUUUAAUAUACGAAAGCAGCGGAAGCAUUUAUAACAUAUUAACAAAGCUAUAGUCAUGCAAAUCCCCUUCAAGGUUCAUAGGUUUAUAUAUAAUGCAUCAAAUAAAAUUUUAGAGAAGAACAAAGUGAAGGUUUAGUCUUAUACCUCUUGAUCUAGACUUGAGACCAAGGAUGGACCACCUCCAAGCCCUUUGUUCCUUGAACUCCUUGAGCCUAGCUUCCCUCCUUUCCUCCUCCACUUUGAUAGAAUGAGUGCUCCUAGGUUCUCUUCAAGUUUCCAAAGUAGGAAACCUCUAAAGAUCCUCACCCACUAGAGUAGUGAGAAGGAUGAAGGAAUAACCAAAGGGUGAAAGAUAUGUUAGUAAAAUCACCCCAAGGUGGCCGGCCUUUGUGUAGUUAUUGGAGAGAUAUUCUUUUGCCUCUUUGUUGUUUUUAACCACACAAAAACCCUAAUGAACAAUAUCACUAUAAAGUUCCUUAUAUAGACAUAAGAAACCUAGCCAACAACUUGACUAAAUAUCUCACCCUUUCCACACCUAAAAUGGCCGGCCCUCUUUGUGUUGUUUGGGCUUUGGGCUUUCAUUUAUUUCAAGUCAUCCAAUGCUUGAAUAAAAGCCCAAUGGGCCCAAUUAAACCCGAACGUUUCUUUAAGCCCAAAACGAUCUUUAUCGCUUUUAUGAUUUCUUUAGACUUUCUAAAUUAAUCACAACACUUAAUUAAUCCAAUUAAUUAUUUCCAUCAUCCAUUAGUUACUCACUACAAUAGUGUAUUGGUGAACAAUCUUUUAGGUUCUAAUUAGCAAGGCAGUGAGGUGAUUGACAUCAAUCCAAUUGAUUAUAUUUAAUUCAAUCACUUAGUGAAUUAAAACUUCAUUUUAAUUCACCUUUCUUCUUUGACGACUACAUUUAAUAAUCUAGAAGAACUCACAAGCUAUGAGUGACAUCUAACCAUAUGUCAUAGCUACCCAAGCUAAUGUAGAAGUUUAUUCGGAGAACCUAUUCAGUUGGAAUUACAAUGUAAUUUAAUCCUUCUCUAAAACAAUACUCUCAAUCACAUUACUAGGGUAUGGAUAUAUUAUGUCAAACCCCUAAUGUGAUUAUUCCUUCUUAUAUGAUUCAAUUGAGUCGUAUAGGAACGCUUUCCUUUAUUACACUCGAUACUUCGGCCGAAGAUUCCCGAAUCAUAUCUUAGAGUAUUCUUCCUCUCUUAUCGAGGAUUAGAGAUUCCUUGUUGCGCAUACACUUGCCUUCAUGACUAAGUGGCUUAACCCUAACUAUGCCGUUGACAUUCUGAUAGAGUGACUUUUGACAUAAUCAAAGAUCAAGUACUUAACCACAAGACAACGACGAUGCCUCAGGUCAAAGGACUACUUACAUUAUUCCAACCAUUAGAGUUACUUGCUUGAUAUGUGAGUAGACCUCCAUGCAAGUACUCUCGUUCGAUUGUGUUCAGUGAACUCAUUCCCUUAAUGAGCACCUACAUACUUGCCUUAGUGUCACAACACGAAUGGGAUGAGACUUUCCAUCCUUCCAAUUGAAGCGGACACAGUAUGUACCGGUCUUCGCAUUGUCAGUAUCCCUCCGACAAUCCAAUGACCAGGAACCUUUUUGGACAUUUGGUUAUGUGAAGAAGGUCUCUGUAGUCUAACAUCAUUAGAUUACUUCUUCAAUCGAUCCAUUGUCCAUGGAUACACUAUUUAGGACAUAUAUCGUUUAUAGAGAUAGUCCUAAUUAGUAUCUUUGCCAUUUGAUGUAUAAGAGUCAUCCAUACAUCGAUUCAAUUGUCCUGAAUGGUUUCUUCCAAAGAUUGACUUUCAGGGCAUAUUUCCAACAAAAAUGCCACUGCUAUGAUCUUCAUUCGAAGACAUAUCCAUGACGCUCUGCAAACUGAGUACCUUGCUGAGGAGGAUCCACGUGUAUUAUGGGUCGCUUUGGCUGAUUGUUUUGAUCACCAAAAUGACAUAUUCUUGCCUGAAGCAAGACACGACUGGCAGCACUUGUGCUUCCAAGACUUUAAGUCUAUGAAUGUAUAUAAUUCUGAAGUUUGUUGAAUCCGAUCACUUUUCAAGUUUUGCAAUGAAACUUUGACUGAAGAGGAUCUCCUGGAGAAGACCUACUCGACCUUCUCUGCUUUUAAUAUUGUCCUGCAGCAACAAUAUAGAGCUCAGAAGUUCACCAAGUUCUCGGAUUUGAUCUCUGUUUUACUUCUUGCUAAAAAACAGAACCAGCUGUUGAUGAAGAAUCAUCAAGCUCGACCUAUUGGGGCUACUGCUGUGCUUGAAGCACAUUAUAACACUAAUCAACACCUAACACACCAAAAGAGGCGUGGUAGGGACUGCCAGAAGCCAUCCCAUAAAGGUUAACAGAGCCAAGGCCCUUCCAAGGGAGGAAACAAAGCCCAGAAGCGCCCAAACCUCGCUUCCAAGGCCCCGAACUUCAAGAAUAAGGGCAAAGCACCCAAAACCAUGGAUGACGAUAUGUGUUAUCGCUAUGGUUCAAAGGACCAUUGGUCCCAUGUUUGCCAAGCUCCCAAGAAGGUUGUAGAUGAAUAUCAUUCUCGUCGUAAGAAGUUUGAAUCAAACUUCAUGCAAGUGGACGAACUGGAGACUACAAAAAUGGAGGUUUCUGAUUUUCAGGAGGAUACCACUCAUAUGGAAGAUUAGAAUCUUAGACAUAGACUUAUUUUUAGUUAAAAUAAGACCAUUGGAGCCGAAUUCCACCUAGUGGCCGAACCCCCCAUUGUUUUUGGUCGAUUUUGAACAAUUUUCCUUUAUGUUUUGGAUUAUUAGUUGGCGAUUUGUUUUGGAUAUUAAGUUUUAAUCCUUGAAUAAUUGCAAUUAUUUUGAAUUGAUAUAUGUUUUUAUAAACUUUUAUGCAUGUGACUGAUUCAAAUUAAUUUUUCAUUCUAGGUACGACUAGUGGGAAAGUUAGUUGUCUGGCAGAUAAUGCAACCACGCACACUGUUUUGCAUGAAUGCAUUUAUUUCACUAACUUCAUACCUAAGAAUGCACCUCUGACAACCCUCUCAGGCCCAUCCAACCUGAUAGAAGGAUACGAUAAGGCACAAAUAAUGUUGUCCAAUGGUACAAUCUUGACCAUUGCUGAGGCACUUUAUUCUCCACGUUCCGGAAGAAUGUUACUCAGUUUCAAGGACAUUAGAGAUAUCGAUUACCACGCUGAAACCCACGUUGAAAACAGAGUUGAAUUUAUGUGCAUAACUUCCUACGAAUAUGGCCAGAAGCGUAUUCUCGAGAAGAUUGAGCGUAUCCCGAGUGGUCUGUAUACUAUGACCAUAUGCCCCAUAGAAUGCCACUAUGUGGCCAGCCCUACCACAGGGACCGCGCACGAAAUUACACUUUGGCAUGAUCGUUUGGGACAUCCUGGACGAAUAGCGAUGCGCCGUAUCCUCAAAUCUUCACACGAGCAUCCACUAACCCGAAGCUUGGGUUCGAUCCAUGAAAUCGCAUGUCAAACAUGUUCUAUGGGAAAGCUUAUUACUAAGCCUUCUUAUGACAAGAUUCGUUCGAAUCCUCCCAUUUUUCUACAACGGAUUCAGGGGGACAUUUGUGGAUCGAUUCAACAUCUCUGCGGACCAUUUAGAUAUUUUAUGGUUUUGGUUGACACAUCCACACGUUGGUCACACGUGUGCUUGUUGUCCAUAAGGAACGCUGCAUUCUCUAAACUGUUGGCUCAGGUUAUUAAGCUCAGGGCUCACCACCCUGAUUAUCCGAUCAAAUCUAUUCGAUUGGAUAAUGCUGGAGAAUUCACAUUUAAAACUUUUGAUGACUAUUGCAUGUCGAUUGGGGUUGAAGUUGAACAUCCUGUACCCCAUGUUCACACCCAGAACGGCCUGGCAGAGGUUUUCAUUAAGCGCUUACAAAUGAUUGCUCGAUCGUUAGUCAUACGUACCAAGCUCCUGAUCGUUGCUUGGGGCCAUACAAUAUUGCACGUAGCAAAGUUGGUCCGCCUGAGGCCUGUUGCGACAUAACCAUUUAGUGCCCUUCAGUUGGUCACCGAAUGUGAACCCGACAUAUCGCAUCUGCUCGUCUUUGGUUAUGCGGUAUAUGUGCCAAUCUCGCCGUCCUUACGUACAAAAAUGGGGCCUCAGCGAAGGAUGGGAAUCUAUGUCGGAUAUGAUUCUUCUUCGAUUAUUCGUUACUUAGAACCUUAGAUAGGCGAUCUGUUUACCGCUCGUUUCGUGGAUUGUCACUUCUAUGAGACAGUCUUCCCGUCGUUAGGGGGAGAUAAGAACGUCAACGUUCCUAAUGAACGACGCGAAUUAUCGUGGACGACUCCCACUUUGUCUCAUUUAGAUCCCCGCACCGCUCAGUUCGAAGCUGAAGUGCAUCACAUAUUAGAUCUCCAGAGCAUAGCUCAGAGCAUGCCAGAUGCUUUCACCGAUCUAGCAUAGCUCAUUAGCAUUUGCAGUAGCUGCUGAGAUCAUGUUGAGCGAUGACAUUGAACCACGUUCCAUUGAUGAAUGUCGACGUAGAGCUGAUUGGUCAAACUGGAAACAAGCAAUCCAAGUCGAACUCGAUUCACUUGCGAAACAUAAGGUGUUUGGACCUGUAGUUCUUACUCAUCCACAUGUGAAGCCCGUUGGCUACAAGUGGGUUUUCGUUCGGAAGCGUAAUGAGAAGAACGAGAUUGUGCGUUACAAAGCUCAUCUUGUAGCACAAGGUUUCUCGCAACGCCCUGGGAUUGACUAUGACGAAACUUACUCACCUAUUAUGGAUGUGAUUACUUUUCGCUACCUUAUCAGUUUGGUAGUUUCCGAAAAAUUGGAUAUGCAGCUAAUGGACGUAGUAACCGCGUAUCUUUAUGAGGAUAUAGAUACGGAAAUUUAUAUGAAAGUUCCUGAAGGACUUACAUUGACUGGUUCAAAUAUUUCCAAACCCUGGAACAUGCUCUUGUGUCCGCUACGGUUUGAAACAAUCCGGAAGAAUAUGGUAUAACCUUUUGAGUGAGUGUUUGACUAGUCAGGGUAUGUGAACAGCGAACUAUGCCCUUGUGUGUUCAUUAAGAAGUCACAUUUCAGAUUUGCGAUUGUUGCAGUAUAUGUCGAUGACAUGAAUAUCAUCGGAACUCUUGAAGAGCUCGCGAGAACUGCUUCGCACCUGAAGUCGAAAUUUGAGAUGAAAGAUCUAGGUAAGACUCGAUAUUGUCUCGAUCUCGAGAUAGAGCAUUGUUCGGAUGGAAUCCUAGUACAUCAAUCGAACUACACCCAGAAGGUGUUGCGUCGCUUUAAUGAGGAUAAAGUGAAGUCUUCGAGUACUCCUAUGGUCGUUCGUACGCUAGAUGCAAAAUGAGAUCCCUUCUGUCCGAAGGAGGAUGAUGAAGAGAUUUUGGAGCCUAAAGUUCCUUAUCUAAGUGCGAUAGGCGCUUUAUUGUACUUAGCUUAAUGCACUAGACCCGACAUCUCCUUCGCUGUUAAUCUUUUGGCAAGAUACAGCAAUGCACCAACACACAGACACUGGACUGGUGUGAAAGACAUCUUCUGUUACCUUAAGGGUACUACAAAUUUGGGCUUGUUCUAUCCCUACGAAUCCUCGAGUGAUGCCGCACCUUAUGCUCAUCGGGUUGAUUCUCGCCUUAUUGGUUAUGCCGACACUGGAUACUUAUCCGAUCUACACAAGGUGCGUUCUUAAACGGGUUAUGUCUUUACCGUUGGAGGCACCGCAAUCUCUUGGAGGUCAACUAAACAAACCUUAGUUCCCACUUCGUCUAACCAUGCUAAAAUUCUCGCCUUACAUGAAGCAACUCUGUAAUGCUUUUGGUUGAGAGCAGUAGUGGGCCAUAUUCGAAGCUCCUGUGAUCUUCAUCUCGCUGUUAAUGCCCCAACGAUGAUUUUUUAGGACAACACAGCUUGCAUCGAACAGCUCAAGAAAUGUUACAUCAAAGGAGACAACACCAAGCACAUUACGCCGAAGUUUUUCUUUACACAUCAACAACAAGAGCAUCAGAAGAUUGAAGUCACGCAAAUUCGUUCACAAGACAAUUUGGCCAACCUCUUCACCAAAUCACUACUGAAGGCGACAUUUCAGAAGCUUGUUCAUGGAAUUGGUAUGCGUAAACUUUUUGAGUUGUAACUUUGCUAUUUCUCUUUGGAAUUAUGUCAAACUCAGGGGGAGUAUCCUGUAGAUACUUGCUUGAUUUUAAUGUACUCUUUUUCCCUACGAUUAGGAGCAUUUUUCCCAAUGGGUUUUUGCUACCUAACUAGGUUUUAACGAGGCACCCACCUUGGGCUGGUCAUAUCUCUGAUGACGUCCUGUAAACGUUUCUUUUGACUUUGCAUUUCUCAUACAUUUUUCCUUAGACUAUGGAUUUGGUCCCUACUCAGGUUUUUGCCAUAGCCUUAGGGUUUUCUAGUGAGACUUACUACUUAUGCAAGUUCUUACCUUAUUGACAAUAAGCGUUGUUCCUUGGAAUCAGUGUCGACGAGUUGACUUCCUUAACUUCUGCAUGAUGCUGAAUCUAUCUUAAGUAUUUACACACUCAAGGGGGAGUGUUGUGAACAUUCCUAGUUUAAGUAUGAUUGUGUAAAUCCUAGAUUAGAUUUGAUUCUAGUUAUCCUUUCCUAUUACAACUUGUAUUACUUGAAGAAGAAGGAAUAUCUUCUCUCCCUUUACUACUAUAAAUAAAGGCACAAUGUGGGAGGGAUAACAACACACAUUCUCCUACAAUUCUACAAACACACAUAUCUCUUCCCUCUCUCCUGUGCCACCGGCCCCUCUCCCUUUGUCAGAUAAAAAUAGACCACAACAUUGUCUUAAUUUCCAAUUUCUUUUUGAUAGAACAAUAUUCGGGGGUGGAUAUCAAGCCAAGCUACACAAUCGAUUGGCCAUAAUUAGGUAUCAAACUUGUUGUGGAGCCUAAAAUAAUCUCAAAAAUAUUAGAGUCGACAUGUGGACUUUUGUUAAAAAAAAAAAAGACUAGAUUGCUCUAAUUAAAUGAGCAGACUUCUCAGAUACUCCCACACACAACUCAGCACCCUUAAAAGUCCAAGCAGCUAAAUACGACUGCUCACAGCUCACAUGCCCAUUGCAAGGAAAUGUCAAAGCAUUAUAGAUAAGAAAUAAAUACCCGAAUCCUAUCUUUAAUACAUUUCCAAUUGAAGAUUGACUCAAUUCAAGUAAGUAAUCCUUAUUUAAAUCAAUUAGGGAUAUUUACACCAUUAUCUCAAGAUAUUAUUUCAUAUUUAAUAUCUUGAGAAUAUUCUCUUCAUAACCUUGGCCAAUAGGAUGUCACGUGUAGGGUAAAACUCUAACACUAUGGCUGACUAUUCCUCCUAUAAAUACCUCUAUCUCUACACAAUUUCGGUAAGCUUUUGCAACCCCUAAAAGCCCUAAACACUUACUCUUUUAAGAGAAACUAAAUUAGGCAUCAGUGAUCCAUUGGCCUAACCUCCCCCCUCCACGCCUCGUGGGCGUGUGAGGCUUAGGUCUUUUAUCAAAGGUGUUGAUUGUUGUGCAAGUACAUUUUUCGUCAAGACUGAAGGCGGAAAUUUGCAUCGAAAAAUUGGUGCUUUCGUUUAGAGCUGAUUCAGAUAAUCGAAGAUGACUCUUGCAUUUGGUUUCUUGAAUUUUCUGUUAAAUUGAAUUCUUCACAUGUUUAUCAAUUAAUUUUUCUUAGAAAAGUUUAUUGAUCAAUCCCUUGAGAAAGGAUACAAUGGUAGGAAAUUUAGAAACUAUGAUGAUGUACGUUCAAGGAUUUGGACAAGAGAACAAGGACGAGGAGCCCUACCACUGUGGAAUAGCCCAAGCUGGACCCCAGACGCGUGCAACAAUGGCCCACCAUGCUAUGGAAGAGCCCACGGCCUAAGGGUAGAAGGCCAUGAUGUGGUAGCUACCACAGCAGGCCCAAGCUAGGAGGCCCAACCCACUACAACAACCAAGCUACGAUGGCAGCUUAAGCCAGCGAGGAGCAGGCAGUAGCCUAGCGAGUAAAAGGGGCGUAUGGGUAGGUGGCCUAAGCCUAGCUUGCCAUCAGCCGAUCCAAGCUCACCACCAGCCAUAACCCAUGUUUAUGUACUAGCCCACGGGCAUGAGGCCCAGACUACAACAGCUCAAGCCAUCAACCAAGCAGCCCAAACCAUAGCAGCUUGAGCCAUAGCGGCCCAAAUUUAGGACCGAGCCCACUUUGUUACCACAAUAGCCCAGGCCCGCAAGGAGUAGGCGCCAGUGGAACCCAUGACCUAAGCAGCGUAAGACCAAGGGCAUGUUGGAAGUAUGCCCACAAAGCCACUCAUUUGAUGUAAUAGCUUUUGGAAUACUUAUUGCAUUAAACGUUUAUAUGUUUAAUGAAGGGCAAAGCUUAUUGUUAAUCACUAUUUAUUGUAUCAUGUGUUUAAGCAAUAAGGGAAUCCAAGGAAUGUAUUUGAUCUAAGAGAUAAGUGAUCUAAGUGAGUUAGAUUAUCGAGACCUUUCUUUUAUGUUCAUUCCUAACACGUUCCUAGCCAUAGGAUUGCCAAUUGGGCAUUGACAAUCCGCUAAGGUUAGUAUGUGUUAUGUUGACUCAAGCGUGAGUAUGACUAGUCUCAAGUCAUUUAGUGUUGGACACUAAGACAAACACAUAGGUGCUCGAAAGAGUAAUCGAGUACACUGAACAAUAAUCAAAAGAGAGUUCGAACAUACAUGUCAUGUAAGAACUCGAUAGUUGCAAUACGCAAAGUAGUCCUUUGACCUGAGGCAUUAUAGAUGUCUAAUGGUUAGGUCCUUGAUCUUUGAUCAUGUCAAAGGCAUUCCAUUGGAGUGUCCACGGCAUUGUUGGGGUCAAGCUAUCUACUCAUGUAGGCAUAUGAAUGUACAACAAGGGAUCUUUAACUUUCCAUGGAGGAAGGAGAAUACUCUAAGAUGUGAUUCGAGAGUCUUUGGCCAAAGCAUAUGAAUAUAACUUAGGAAGUUUGUUCCAAAUCAUAUUCAAUUGAAUCAUAUAGAGAAGUAUCACAUUGGAUAGUAGACAUGAAACAAACUAUCAUUCAAACAAUGUGAUUAAGAGUAUUGUAUUAGAGAAUGACCGUAUUGCAUUGUAAUUGUAACUGGAUAGGUUCUCCAACCACUUCUACUUAGCUUGGGUAACCAUGACAUACUGCUAGGUGUCACUCAUGGUUUGUGGAAGCCCUAAUGAUUAGCAAACACUAAUUUUAAGGGAGAAUUGAAAUGUGGUUUCAAUUCACAAUCGAUUGUUAAGAGUAACAAUCGCCCAUUACCUCGCUAAUUGGAACCUAAUGGAUCGUACACCGAGUAAGGGCGAUAGUGAAGAAAUUAAAUGAAAUGGAUAUGCAAUUAAAUGGUUUAAUUGAAGAAUGGUCAAAGAUUAAUUAAAUUAGUUAAUUAAUUUUACGAAAGGUUCGUAUUGGGCUUUUAAGUUGGUUUUGGGUUUCGGGGCCCAAAAGCGUUUUGGUCCACAAGGCCCAUUAUGUUUAAGUUGUAUGACAACUAAAACAAAAUGGGCAAAUUAGCCCAAUAACAAGGUAAGGCCGGCCAUUAGGGUGAAUGGAGCAAACUUGGAUUAAUUACAAGUUUACCACUCACUUGUAAUGAAGUAUAAAAGCAACUUUAUAGCUUUAUUUUCAUUAGGGUUUUCUUUGAGGCAAAGAGGUGAAACAUUUUUCUCUCUUUCUCUCUACAAAGAGGCCGGCCACUUAGAGGAGAUUUAGCUAGCAAUCUUUUCUUCUCUAAGUCAUCCAUUUCAUCUUCACACCUCACCCUUGGUGUGGAGACUUAGAGACACCAAACCUUUGGUGUUUUGGAGAUCCUUUCCUCACAUCCUCAAGGAGCAAAGGAGCACGAAAAGGGGAAAAUCACAAGCAAGAUUCAAGUAGCUUGGAGGUGACUUGAAGGCCCUCAACUUGGGUGAAUCCCUUGUGUAAACAAGGAUGAGCUUCAAGGGUAAAGAAACUCUAAAUCUUUACUUCUCUUUAAUGUUGUUAAAGAGUCUUUUUGGUUCACCAUAUACUAGGCUUUGAAAGUCAUGGGUUUUAUGAAUUGUUUUUGAAUGCAUGCCUACUUUAAUGUGUUAAUAGUUUGCAUUUGUAUUCAAAUGUUCUUACUUGUUCUUAGCUAGGACAAAAUUUUUCCUUCAAGUGGUAUCAGAGCCUAGGCCUAGUUUAUGGUGAAUCCUUUUGGGUUUUGUGAUUUUCAUGAUUUGUGAUUUAAAUGUUGUAAAUGUUACAAGCUUUGUUCUUGCUUUUGAAUAUAAAUUUUGCUAGAAAAUUUAGCAUCUCAAAUAUUGUAGAUGUAUUUCAUUUAAGCAUGAAUAUUGGAACUAAAAUUUGGUGCCAUGUAUGUUGGGAAAUUCGGCCAAAUCCAAAGGGUGAUUUUUUGGGUUCAUGUUUGUCUUGUUGAAAUGGUUUUAAAGUGACUUUUGGAACCCCUAAGUACCCUAGGAUAUUAGCCCUCUUUUGAGUGGUGAAAAAUUGAGUUUUGGUGAGUGAAAACAUUCAUCGAGCUAUUAUGAGUUUUCAUGAGUGUUCUUCAAUGUUCUUGAAGUUCUUGCCAAGAACAAAAUGGUUUGAAGUUUUGAUUCAAAAGUUUUAUGUUUUUUCAUAAAGUUUUGGUUUAUUAUUUGAUGGUUGAUGGUUAUUGGUGAGAUGUGAUGAAAUGGUUUUAAUGUUUGUCAUAGACUUUAAGUUUUCUUACAAACCAUCAAUUUCACCUUUACCUCACCCACCAAAAUCAACUUGCAAAAACUUUUUAGAAAAUUUUUCAUAUCUUCUCUAAAGGCUGGCCACCCCCUAGUGGGGGUACUUUUGGGGCCUUUUAUGCAAUUACAUAAAGUUUUGAUAAUUUUGUGUAUUUGCACUUUGGCCCAAAAGUUUACAAAGAUUUGCAUGACUAGAUGGUUCGCCCAUGAUGUACAAUCUUCAUGAAAGUAACUCAGCUCCAAAGUGUUGCAAUACUAGUUAAGCGACCUACAUAAUCAGUUACAAUUGCUGCCCAAGCUAUCUGUAUCAAGCUGGGUGCAGCUUAGAAGAUCAAGUGGCUAGCAGCUCGGAAGGAUAUGGCCACUGAGUUGCGAUUUCGCAUACAACGCCUCUGAAAGCCAGGGUCAAUGCCUAAAGUGGUCAUGCAGGUCUUUUGCUUCUUAAGUAAGACACCCGAUUGAUGACCCAACGGCUGGCAGCCCUUGGUAAUCUGUAAGCCAAGACUUACACCUACUAUGACUACGCAGACCUAUCUGUUUAUUUAAAAGUAGCAGUUUCGACUGACGGUCUACGGUUUAAGUUUUGCAAGAGUUAAAGCCGAAUGUAUAACUACAGUCGCUACGCGAAUUCCUCUACUUUAUAUGAGAAGCACGUGUAUGGCCGUUGGCUCUAUAAGUUAGAAAUUUCACAGUAUGCCUGGGGAAGGCCAACGCUCAUGAAGCUGUUAAAGUUGAGAUUCACAACUAUAGUAGCUACACGGAAUCGUCUGCUUUCUAUGAAAGCCACAAGUGUGGCCGCCGGCUCUAUAAGUUAGAAACUUCACAUAUUUUCUCUUACAGGUAAAGCUCUUUGAGCAUCAAAACCAAGACCAAAGCCAAAAGUGACGAUGUGGGAUCGACUGCUUCAUUGAAGUAGCUAACCCAGCAGCCCGUCCUACGACAAAGUUUUGCAAGUCACCUCAAGCAGGCAAAGAUCCUGAAGCCCCGAAGCUAAAACUAAAACGUAAAUGUUGAUGUGGGAUCGACCGCUUCCUCGAAGCAGCUUGCCUAGCCGACCGUCUUACGAUAAAGUUUUGCAAAAGAUAUCGUGAAAUAGCAAGGAUGAAGCAAAGCAAUGAAAGUUGUUUAUUAAAUUUGUAGCAAAUUGAUAAAUCAGCUUGAAGGCCAACAUCAUUCAAAUAAAGCAGAACGAAAAGGAAAAUAAGAAAACUCUUAAGUCUAAGCAAAAAGACUACUCAUCAGCAGCCUGCACAACCACUGGUUUCUCGACUACCGCAACCACACCAUUCUUAACCAGCCAAAGCUUCCAUCAGCUUAUCCUUAGCCAUCCUUGCCAGACCCUCAGUUACUCUACCAAAGGCAGCCUCAAAUAAGAAUUCAAUCAGAUCAACUGAAGAAAUGAAGAAAGUCUCGAAGUCCUUCUCAGAAAACUUAUAAUUCGACGGCCUACCCUAGAUAUGGUCUACAUAGCCAAAAUUGUAGAAAUUGGCCUAAGAUAAAGUAAGCACCAUUUUGUGACCGACCUUCUCAUUCUUUAGCUACACAUUCUCCUCAACAAGCCUAGUGUGAGCAUCAUGUAGCUUAUCUAGUUCAUUCUUCAAGUUUUCCCUAGUAGACAAUGCACCAUGCAUAUCCAUUUCCUUGAACUCAAGCUUACUGACAACAUCCUUGAGACAAAAUACUUCACCAUGCAUGAAGACAAGCUUCUCGUCCUUAGCAAAACAAGUAGAUCGUAACUUCGAAUGAAAACGCUUAAGGUUUUGGACCACCGAUGCAACAUAACUGACUUUUUUCCCUGUAGCUUUCAACAUCGCUUGAAUCGCAUUAAGCUUAGCUUUCACAUCGACGAUCUCUUUAAGAACAAUCUCUAGCUGCAUAAAAGUAGGGGCAAAGACAUCAGUCCCAUUCAAAACGACGAGUUCAGAUUUGAGCUUCUCGAUCUUUUUAGCAGUCGAGUGAAGCUGAGUCGUCAACACCACUCCGACCUCCUUAGUACACUUGACAGCAUCCUAAUCAAUGCUUAUAGGCUUAGCUUAUAGGAUCAAAGUUUUCUGCAUUGUAGCAAGCAAGAAGAACCUCAUUGAGUAAGUAUGACGCCUUGUUAGAGAGUCUAAGCGAAAAACUUUCCCAACACUAUUAACAAACUUGGGACACACAUCGACAUCCUCAAGCAAGUUAGCCUUCAGUAGCACACAAACCUCAAGAAACUCUUCAAAACUAGACUUAGUGGAUUUCUCACAACUGCCCACUGAUGCGAUGAAAAUCAAGCACUCAAAUUAAACCCUCUUGUUGUCAAAUUGUAGUAUAAAUGCAAGUAGGGAUCGUUCUAAAUCGGGGAUUAGGAGGGCUUGCUAAAACCUCUAAACUUACUAAAAAACAUAAAAACAAAGUUAAAAACGUUUGAAUAGACUCAAGGGACUCAAAACAGAUUCUAAAGACUCAAAACUGCCUAAAAACACAAAUUGGGCAGAUUUGACUCUAACACAAUUUUCGACGAAUCUAGUGUUUUGGUUUGAAUCAAAACACUCAAAAACACAAAUCAAAAUAGAUUUUGACUAAUAAAACACUUUAAAGUAAAGGGGGUUUUGGUUUUGACAAAUUUGAAAACAAAACAAGUAAAUUAAAGAACUAAUGAAAUCUGCACAAAUUUGAGUAAGUUGAAUGGAUGGAAGGCUAGCUAGGAGGUUCUUCUCCACACAUGACAUACUUGCACAUAAACUAAUUUUCAGUUGUUCUUUUGAUCAAUCAUGAAACUCAACACCCCAGGUUAAUUAAGUCCGCUUAAAUUAACCUUCAAGUUCUCCUUAAGUUAUUGAAUUGGAUGGGAAAGGGCAUACAACAAUUCAAGCAUUCUUCAAAAGUUCUUUACGUGAACAGCACAAUAAAGAUACAAUCAAAGAUCAUUAAGCAUUAUGAAAACUAUAAGUAUUGACAAGGCAUUCGUUACUAUGAUGAGCAUGAAACUCCUGCCAAGAAUUUAUUUAACGCGAUCGUUUAUAAGCGACCUCCACUACUUGUGAAUAUAAGUUUGUAACUAUUAGGUGAAACUCCCUUAUACUCUAGCAUCGUAUUCAUGCAUGCAAACUAAGUGUGCACUCUUAAUAAACAUACCCAAAUAAGUUAUCAAUCAAGCAGUUAAACAAAUUUAAUUCACAACUUAUGAAAUCACAAUUGAAGGUAAUCAAAUCAUAUUGCAAGCAUGAACAUGGUUUCGAAUUCCCCCCUUGCUAAGGGGGGGUUUAGUUCCUCAUGCUCACAAAGAAAAGAUAAACAAAUUUAGACAUUGAAAAUAAAAGAAUGAAAACACCUAAAAACGCUCCAACAAUCCAACUUGAAUGGCAAGCACGUCCAAGGGUCCUCUUUCUUCUCUUUGUUGCGGCACAAGUGUCUAGGAUGUGUAUGGAUAUAUGGAAAGGUUAGGAAUGUAUUUAGGAUUGGUGAAUGUCUCGGCCAAGGGAAGGAAAAUGUAUUUGUGUUUGUGAAAUGUGGGAUUUAUGGAUGUAUGGAUGGAAUGGAUCUCACGGCAUGGAAAAUGGAAGUGUAUGGAGAUGUGUUUGAAUGUAUGGAUGAAAUGGAAUGGAGCUCUUUUGAUGGAUCAAGAUGGUCCUUAGGAAGGGGAAUGGUGGAUGUAUUUAUAGGCUAAGGAGAGGACCACUUCAAUUCCUUGCAUGUGCAGUUUGUAUGGGUGUGUGAUGUCCAUGUUUCCCUUUACAUUUGCACACACAUGACCUCCAUCAUUUCAGCCACAAAACAAACACAUUUUUUGCCAUGUUUCUCCUUUACAUUUACACACAUGUUCUUCAUCAUUUCAGCCACAAAUCAACCCAUUUUCUGCCCAUGUGUGUGUCUUUCCUUUGCCCAUGUGUGUGUGUUUCCUUUGCCCAUGUGUGUGUGUUUUUCCUUUGCAUUUGCACACACAUGUUCUUCAUUAUUUCAGCCAACAAUCCACCCAUUUUCUGCCCAUGCCAAGCCCUACAUGCCGUGCCUUUCUUGUUGUGUGUGUGUUGUCCAUGUAGGGAGUGUGUAUGCCCUCCAACCUAUGCAGUUUGCAUGUGUGUAGCUGUCCAUGUUUCUCUUUUGCAUGUGCCGUGCCUUCUCUUUCUAGUUGUGCAUUUCCACUUGCUCCAAAGCCAAAUGAGUGCAAUCAUAACCCCAUUUGCUGCUGAGUGUUGAUGACAAAGCAAAACACAAAACAAGUGCCUUUACUUUCUCAUUUUAUUAGCCAAAUCUGCUUAGCCCUUUUCUGAACCUUUCAGUGUUACAAUACCCAUAACUUCUUCUAGAAAAAUGAUAUUAACAAUCCGUAAAUUGGUCCAGAAAAUAGACAUCCGUAGCUUUCCAAGCAUAUAAGGCUUAUUCUCUCAUUCAUUCUGAGCUAUUCGUAACAUGCUUCCAAAUUCAUUCUGAGCUGUUCGUAGCAGACUUAUUUUUCUCAACAGACAAAUCAAUUACGAUAGAAUGAGGAGCAUACCCAGGCAUAAUCCACUUUUCCGCUUUUUAUAACGGUGAGUCUUUCAAAAACUAAAUCAGACUUAGCUCCUGACACGCGCUUCGAUACAAACCUAAACACGAGGGGCACCACCGAACCUCUCCACUAGAAAAGCCUAUCAGCAAUAAUUGUGGCCACCUUAGGAGCAACAGGUUUCACAGGCUCAAACUUAACAGUUUUUUUCUUCCUCUUGAAGGAAGUGAAAUCAAUAAUAAGCUUUUUAGCAGCAGAUGCAGGCCCAUAACCUGGUCCCCUUUUCUCUCCAGCUGACGCCUGACCCACAUGGGUCUUGUUCUCUCCUAAGCAGCGUGGGCUUGUGUUCAGCCUGCCAAGCAUAGUUCCUCGUGCCCAAGCCAUGGCCUUUGCGACGUAAUUCUUGGCCCAAGAAGCCGAGCAUGCGACCCAAGUCACAAGCAAGAAAGAUGGCACACCGUGUUUUUUUCUUUCUUCAUCCAUGAUAUAGUAGGCAAAGCCUGCCUCGUUAUACUUAGCCCAUGCCAAGCCUAAAUCUAGAAGGGCUAAAGCCUCGCGGCUUGCCCAGCUCGGCGCCUAACGAGCCCUUUACCUUGCCCACUUAUGAUCACCUUUGCUCAAGGUGUCCAACAACCUAUGGAGAUAACUCAAUUUUUCUACACCAUACAACAUGCCUGACUAGCCCAUGUCAGAUUCAGGCUCCUAGAGGGAGCUCGAGCCCUAUGGUUCUCUUUGCACCGUACCCUAGCGCCUUGAGUCGCAACCCUAACUGCGUAACUACCUUUGGCUCUAGUCGAGUUGAGUAGCCCACGUUGUGGCCUCUACUAUGCCACCUCCUCGACCCAUACAGAUCCAACUUCUAGCCCUUGCAUGUCGACGGCUGCCUGUAGUAGCACCACCUCGAUGGUUGCCCCGCGACAACAUCACCAAAAAGACAAAGAAAAUUACCUUUUUCAUACCUUGGUGUAGCACAGAGAAGAAGAAUAACCACGAGAAAUGACUUUUUGCAAGGGCAAGAGAAGAAGAUAGCUAGGGGAGGGAGAAUAAAUUUCCUCUACUUUCUCUCUUCCUUGUUAGAAUGAAGAUUGUUCUCCAAAUUUAUUUAAUCCCCUACUUAAGGCAAAAUUAAUAGGUAUUGGGGGCAAUUGGUUUCCUUUUCCUAGAAGAGUCUAUCUCUAAGUCAAAGAAUGAGAUCUACAUCAAAUUGGGAAUCAACUUUACACACCCAUGCAGCUUACGACUUCUACACCAACUGCUCAUUUUCUACAUGUAGCCUAGAAUGUGUGGGGGCAUUUGUGGAGCCUAAAAUAAUCUCAAAAAUCCUAAAGGCGGCAAGUGGACUUUUGCUCCAGAAAGACUAGAUUGCCCUCAUUAAAUGAGCAGGCUUCCCAUAUACUCCCACAUGCAGCUCAGCACUCCUGAAGGUCCAAGUAGCUGAAUAUAACUGUCCAUAGUUCACCUGCCCAUGGCAAGGAAAAAUCAAAGCAUUACAAAUAAGGAUGACUAAAUGUCUCAUCAUAACCAAACCAAUAUUGUUGAUGAAAGGCAUUGGUAACUAAACGAGCCUUAUACCGCUCAAUAAAAUCUGCAUUAUGCUUAAUCUGAAAAACCCAUUUGUAUGAAGGAAAAAUUUUGUCCUAGUUAAGUGUUGGAAAUAUGCCCUGAAAGUCAAUCUUUGGAAGAAACCUUUCAGGACAAAUGAAUGGAUGUAUAGAUGACUCUUAUACAUCAAAUGGCAAAGAUACUAAUUAGGACUAUCUCAAUGAACGAUAUAUGUCCUAAAUAGUGAAUCCAUGGACAAUGGAUCGAUUGAAGAAGUAAUCUAAUGAUGUUAGACUACAGAGACCUUCUUCACAUAAUCAUCAUGUCCAAAAGGUUCCUGGUCAUUGGAUUGUCGGAGGGAAACUGACAAUGCAUAGACCGGUACAUACUAUGUCCGCUUCAAUUGGAAGGAUGGAAAGUCUCAUCCCAUUCGUGUAGUGACACUAAGACAAGUAUGUAGGUGCUCAUUAAGGGAAUGAGUUCACAGAACACAAUCGAACGAGAGUACUUGCAUGGAGGUCUACUCACAUGUCAAGCAAGUAACUCUUAUGGUUGGAAUAAUGUAAGUAGUCCUUUGACCUGAGGCAUCGUCGUUGUCUUGUGGUUAAGUACUUGAUCUUUGAUUAUGUCAAAGUCACCCUAUUCGCAGGUGUCCACGGCAUAGUUGGGGUUAAGCCACUUAGUCAUGAAGGCAAGUGAAUGCGCAACAAGGAAUCUCUAAUCUUCGUUAAGAGAGGAAGAAUACUCUAAGAUAUGAUUCUGGAAUCUUCGGCCGAAGUAUCGAGCGUAAUAAAGGAAAGCGUUCCUAUACGACUCAAUUGAAUCAUAUAAGAAAGAGUAAUCACAUUAGGGGUUUGACAUAAUAUAUCCAUACCUCAAUGAUGUGAUUGAGAGUAUUGUUUUAGAGAAGGAUCGAAUUACAUUGUAAUUCCAACUGAAUAGGUUCUCCGAACAAAUUCUACAUUAGCUUGGGUAGCCAUGAUAUAUGGUUAGAUGUCACUCAUGGCUUGUGAGUUCUUCUAGAUGAUUAAAUGUAGUAGUCAAAGAAGAAGGUGAAUUAAAAGGAAGUUUUAAUUCACUAAGUGAUUGGAUUAAAUAUAAUCAAUUGGAUUGGUGCCAAUCACCUCACUGCCUUGCUAAUUAAAACCUAAAAUGAUUGUACACCGAUACACUCUUGUAGUGAUACCACUAAUGGAUGAUGGAAAUAAUUAAUUGGAUUAAUUAAGUGUUGUGAUUAAUUAGAAAGUCUAAUGAGAUCAUAAAAGUGAUAUAAGAUCGUUUUGGGCUUAAAGAAACGUUCGGGUUUAAUCGGGCCCAUUAGGCCUAGACCCAUUGGGCUUUUAUUCAAGCAUAGGAUGACUUGAAACAAUAAAAGCCCAAAGCCCAAACCAAACACUAAAGGCCGGCCACUUAAAGGGAAAGGGAAAGAGUGAAAGUCAAGUUGUUGACUAGGUUUCUUUUUGUCUAUAUAAGGAACUUUAUAGAGAUAUUUUUAAAAAGGGUUUUUGUGUGUUCAAAACAACUAAAGAGAAAAACAAAAUUACUCUCUCUUCAACACCAAAGGCCGGCCACCUUAAGGGUGAUUUUAGCUAAUCAUUUUUUCACCCUUUUGGUCAUUCCUCCAUCCAUCUCACUACACUAGUGGGUGUGGAUCUUUAGAGGUCUUCUACUUUGGAGACUAAAGGAGAACCAAAGGAGCACUCAUACUAACAAAGUGGAGGAGGCAAGGAGGGAGGCUAGGCUCAAGGAGUUCAAGGAACUAAGGGCUUGGAGGUGGUCCAUCCUUGGUCUAAAAUCUAGAUCAAGAGGUAUAGAUCUAUUCCUACACUUUGUUCUUUACUUAAAUGUUUUGAUGCAUCAUAUAUAAACCUAUGAACCUUGAAGGGGAUUUGCAUGACUAUAGCUUUGAUAUUAUUUGAUAACAUGCUUCCGUUGCUUUCGUAUAUAAAUUUUGAAUUGUAUAUGCAUGCUAGUCAUUAGAAAUCCCACAUGAAUCUCAUAGAUUUCCCUUCAAGUGGUAUCAGAGCCAAAGGUUUAUAUAUGAUGUGUCCUUUUGGAUUUUAUGCAUAUGGGUUUUAAUAUUAUGUAUGACAUGUUAUUGCUUCAUUCAAAAUAUGUUUAUCUUUUGUUUUUCAAUAGUUGAAAAAUGUGAAUCAAUAGUUGAGAAAGAUAUGUAUGCAAAAGGUGUUUUGUAUGCAUGAAUGAAGAAUGAGUUUAGAACAAAUUUUGGGGUUUUGACUCUUAGGGAGGGCAGGGCAAAAAUGGGAAUUUUUGGCUAAGUGUUUGUGUUUUUAUUUUGAAUCACACACUCACACUUUAAAGCUAGAAAGUAGAAAUCUUGUCACUUUUGUUUUUGGGUUUGAAAAAUCACCAAGAAUAUACAAAUCUUGAAAAUAUGUUCAUGGUUUUGUUCUUGGUGUUCAUGGUUUGGUUUUUGGUGAAAAUGGUUUUAUUUGGUUUUCAUGCUUUGUUUUGUGGUUUUGGAUGAUGUUCAUACCAUCCAUAGCCAUAUCUAAAACUUAUUAAAAUCCUAGACUUGACUAGGAGAUUUCCAUCACCCCUUUUCACCUAAGUCUUUAAAGCCAAAACCAAGUGACAAGCAAAAUUUAAUUUUUUCUACUUUAACAUGGUUCAAUGCAUUAUGGGUGAAACUUCCCAUCUCACCUCAAUGUGGCCGGCCUCCCCUAGUGGAUUUAUCCACUUGUGGGGCUAUUUUGUAACUUGGAAAAGGAUAUUUUUACUUUUGAAGUAUUUACAGAUUUACCCCUAACUUUUUCAUAUUUGCAUUUAGGCCCUUACUAACUAGAAAGUUAAAAUAUUUGAUUUUAAUUUUGUUAGUUGUUUAAACUCACAAUACUAUUAUGCCCAUAUGCACUAAAUCUAAAUGUUUAUGUAGCAUUCCAUUUAAUUAUUUAAUGUGAUUAAGUAGUUAGAAAAUGGGUGACUAUGGACUUAUGCCUUAAACGAUAAUUGAGCUAUAAGAUAAGGCGCUAAAAUCAAAUUGUUUGAACCUUGGGAAUGUGUUUUAAUUACUGUUUUAAUUGGACCUUGUCACGUUUGACAUUAAUCUAUCUCUCCCUCUUAGUAUAUGUAAUUUGUAGGAAUUUGUACAAAUCGGUUUGUAAUUCUUAUUACUCCUUAAUCUCUUUUAGUUAGUUAAUUCCCUCUAGUACUAGACUAGAGUUUCUUUAACUAUUGGUAAGGAGACAUAACUAAAAGAGGGUUUUGACAUGAGAUUAAAGAUUAAAUGGGUCCAAUGCCCUAAUUAGCAAUGAAUGAUUGUCUUUCAUUUCUAAUGGCUCAAUGAAAAUGUUUUAAUUGGAUUGAAAAGCACGUAAUUAAAUUGACACAACCUCCCCGAGUUUAUAUUCAACAAUGUUGGCUCGUUGUUGCAAUAACCUAAUAAGUCCAUGGUCAUCCAAGAGCCUAAGAUAAUUAUAAAGUCCAAUUUCAAAGGAAUGCAAAAACCUUAGUAGUAGUAGUUACUUCCAAUAUUUGAAAAAUUCGUUUUUGAUAUUGAUUUGUUUUUCUUAAAACAAAUAGUGGGAGUAUCAUACGCUACUAAAUUAUAAAUGAAUACAAUUAGUAGUUAUAUAUAUCUCCAAUAUUUUGAAAAUUGUUUUGAUAUUGAUUUGUUUUAUGAAAACGAAUAAUGGGGAUAUCAUAUGCUACUAAUUUCAUUAACUUUGGACUAGUAGUUAUAAUAGGACAAUUUAUUUGAAUGUGAUUAAAUAAAUAAAAUUGAUGAGACCUUAAAAUCCCUCAACCAACAUACAAUAUUAAGUUGAAAGCGUAAGAGUGCUUUGAACAUUUUUUCGUGGCCUUCCACCAUGGUAGGCUCCAAGCGUUUAUGACUUAUACACCGCCUUCACCCUAUCAUGGGGGAGUGCAAAGUGCAUGCUUAUACUCAGGAGGAGUUUAUUUAAAACAUUUGAUGAGGUUAAGGUAGGCAACGAGUGUGGCCAACAUCGUAUCAUCGUGAGGUCAUACUUGAACCCCUAGCUAAACCGGCAUGGUGGGAAAGAACUUAACUAAGAGAAAUGAUGCCAACAUCGUAUCAUCGUGAGGCAUUGUUUUCUAGAGGCCAAAAAGAUGGGUAAUCACAAGAGGUUGUUGUGAAUGGGUAAGUGUACCCUCUCAUUAUUAUUUUUGCUAGCCGACAUCGUAUCAUCGUGAGGUGGGCUUGGUAAUAAUGAGCCUCCCAUAACCCACUAGGAGCUUUCUUUGAAAUCUCCCGGAUUCCAUCUUGAGGGAUAUGGAAUUUGCCAAAAAUGGUGGGUGGUGUCAUUCGGUUUAAAGACCCGAAUCGUUUGACUUAAUCAACAAUCAAACUAAUUAUUUUAUUGUUUAUGUAUUUAGAUAUGGUUGGAAGCACACUCGUGAAAAUACUCGACAAACAUUGCCUAGAGGGGCAUAAUUUCCCAUCAUGGUACCGUAAUGUCAAGAUUCUCCUAACAUUGGAGAAGAUUGUUUACGUACUAGACAAGGCUCCACCUCACAUAUCUCUCGGCCCUGAGGCCACUGAGGAUGAACAUGCUAAGUAUGACAAGCACGUUGAGGAUGACACACAAGCCAAGUGCUAUCUGUUGGCUUCCAUGAAUGAGGAGCUACAGAGACAGCACGAGGGCAUGGACAGUGCAUCUUCCAUAAUACUCCAUCUUACGGAGUUAUAUGGUGAAAGGAGGCGCAACCGUCGCUUUAGCACUGUUUGUGAACUUGUGAAGACCAAGAUGGUCAAGGGGGCUCCAGUGCAUCAACAUGUACAGAAGAUGAUAGGAUUCAUUGAACAAUUGGAGAACCUAGGUACUCCACUUGACGGGGAAUUGGCCCAGGACUUCAUAUUGGCUUCUUUUUCUGAUUCAUUUUCGCAGUUCGUAAUGAACUACAAUAUGAAUAAGAUGGAUAGUACUCUCUCUGAGUUACUAAACAUGUUAGUAACUGCCGAGAAGACUAUGAAGAAAGAGAACGUUGUAGGGACUGCUGCAGUAGCCUACAACAAGCCAUCAUCUUCCAAGGCCAAGCCGCAAGGCAAAGGCAAAGGCAAAGGCAAAGGGAAGGAGAAGAAGUCUCCCACUCCUAAGCCGCAAGGAGGAGUGAAGAAAAAGAAGGCAAAGGAGCCCAAGGGGACUUGCCACCACUGUGGAAAGGAGGGGCAUUGGAAGAGGAAUUGCAGGUUAUACCUUGCAACUCUUAAAGAUAAGCCACAAGGUAUGGUUUAUGUUCUUAUCUUCAAUUCUAAUUGUUAGAUCUUCUAAAUAUUUAUAUUUGAUAUAAAGGGCUAAUCACUUGUAUAAAUGUAUAUAGGUGGAGGAGCCAAGUAGAAGAGGAACAAGCAAAGAGAAGUGUGGAGAAGGGUUCGGCCACCAUGUUUUUUGCUAACUACUUAGGAAGUUUGUUAGGCAUUUAAAGAUUGUCUUUAAACUUUCUUAUUUUGUUAAGAACUUAAUGUGGCUUCAUAUGAUGGAAGACCACUAUUAGUGCCUAAAUGUAUAAAGGUAUAUAUUAGUCUCUAAAUGUAUAGAGCUAAUACUUUUUGUAUUAAAACAUUAUGAAUGUUUGAAUUAUCAUAUUAAUGUAAUGUGAUGUAUACCUUCUAAUAUAUUAUUUCCUUAAAAGUAGUAUUAUGAAUUGAAUAUUGUCUUGUUGUAUCCUAGUUGAGAUACAAGAUUUAUAUCACUUAUUGUAAUGUGAUAAACCAAACUUUAGACUUAUCAAUUAUGGAUAGAUCUCACAUGUAGGACAUAGAAGGAUACAAUGAAUCUUUAGAUUUGGUUCCAAUUGUCGACCUAUGAGUUCUAUAUGAAUUGACAAAGGUCGAGAGAUUCCUUUCUUGAAGAAAAGGAAGAUCACAUUAUAAUGAUAUAAGUAAUAAGAAAAACGUUUCUUAUAUGGUUAUCACUUAGAACACAAUAAUCAAGAUCACUCUUGAUUCAAUUAGUAGUUUUGAACAACUAAUUGGGCAUUCUUUAAAUUGUUUUAAAAUGUCAAUUGUGUUAGUGAUUAAACCAAGAAAGAAGUGUCUAAAUCUAUAAAAUGUUUAAAGACUUUAGUCACUUAUUAACGAGACAUUAACUUAGUGAAGAUUGAAACAAACGAGCUUGAAAGGUUUUAAAGCCACUACACAAUGUCUUCUACCCGUAUACUCCACGUUUAUACAUUUUGAAUGUAUGAAGUGAUUUCUCAUUAAAAUCAUGAGAAAUAGUGGGAGGUGUGAAAAUGGAUAUAAACUUGAAUAUGAUUGGUUUAUAGUUGUCUAAAGAAUAAUAGUACUUGACUAUUAUUGAGAGUUUGUGACUUUAAUUGUUAAAGGACUCAAGCUCUUCAAAUGUUAAAAUUCCAUGUUGUGUAACAUUCUAAAGAAUAGUCUAUUAAUGUUGGUUUCGUCAACCUAGCAUAAAAUGGUUAUAUGUUGGGAGUUGUCCAUCAUUCUCUUUUAUGAGAACAAGCUAAUAACAAAGCAUAUGGACAAGUUGAUGAAACAAAAGAGAAUAGUCUAUGAAUGUUGGUUUCGUCAACCUAGCAUAAAAUGGUUAUAUGUUGGGAGUUGUCCAUCAUUCUCUUUUAUGAGAACAAGCUAAUAACAAAGCAUUUGGACAAGUUGAUGAAACAAAAGGGAAUAGUUUUUCAAAAUGAGUCACAAUAUAUAGUUUAACAACAAGACAAUCCAAAUUCAACAUCUUAUGUAACUAUAAUGCUCUAUGUAGUUUUGAUAAAGAAUUAUAUCAACCACCUAGAAGGAAUGGUUGAGUUUCUAUAUCCUUAGUAGGAGCCAUGCUUCCACUAAAGACUUGGAUAAUUCUUAUAUGACUACAUUAAAGGUCUUAGUAUGACUAAAACUUGUAGUAUGGUGUAUGACACCAUAUUAUUUAAAUUAAUAAACUUGAUAAAGCAAGUCACACAUUUCAAAAGGAAUUACUUGAGAAAGAAUUCUUUUGUAUGAUUCGUUUAAAUAACUUGUGUUAGCUAGAGUUGUUGAUAGUCUCAAAAUUGUUGAGACAUCAUCAAUAAGCUAAUGGAUCUCAAUGAUUGUCAAUGGAUCCAAGACAAGUUAGUGGGAGCAAUAUCCAUUCAAAUCAAGAAAAUAUAAGUGUUAAGAUUUUUAAAUGAAUGCUAAGUUACAACAAGGCCAGUGGGAGUGAUGUCAUAAUUUUGAGCAACAAGAUAUGAAUAAAGUCUUUUUGAUAGACUUGAUAAAACAUAUAUGUUACUCGAAAAUUGACAAAACGUGACACGGUCAAUUUUAAAGUAUAGACUUGAAAUUGGACUUAUUGAUAUAGCAAGGCUAUCUCAAGGAUAUUAAAUAGGGAAAUUAAAUCUCAAAUGUUGAAGAUUUAAGAAAGCAUUUUCCUAUAUGAUAGAAAAUCACUUUCGUAUCCCUUAUAAUGAAUGUGUCACAAAAUCACAAAAGGGACACAUGUAUGGACUUGUGAAGUAGAUAUCCAAAAGUGAAGAACCACAGGGGUUGUCAUUUUAAGAUAUUACUAUAUCCCAGGAUCAGAACCAAAGCAACUGAUAAAGUAUUAUUGCCUUUAAGAAAGAAACAUCAGAGUGGGACUCUGGAAGCGUGCAUUCACUUAGGUUAUAAACCAAAGUGAAAAUAAACCAUUUUAACAAAUGGAACUUCAUAUUGGAUGAAGUACUAAUCAUAUGAAUGAAUUGUUAGUAUUGUACUAUAAUGGUCUCAAGGUUGGAGCAAAGUUUGUAUAAAGUAAACAAACGAAAUAUAUGACGAUAUAUUGUUUUAGAAACUACUUCAAAAGGUGUUUUUGAAUGAAGGGGUUCUUAUAGAACCAAUGAUUGAAUCCAAACCAUAAGGUCGUUAGUAGGAUACUACGACGUAAUGGGGCGAUAGCUCAAGCCAUGGAAUCAAGGUCUCAUCAAAGUAUUCGAACACAAUAAAGAGACAUCAUCAAAUGUUUUGGAAACUUUUGAUAAGUAAAUCCCUUUUAAAUAAAAGGGGAUUAAUACAUAACCAAGUUAACCUACGAGCAUAAGCUCUCUCAACUAGCAUGUAUAAGAUACACUAGUGAUUGACUUUAGUGCAAGUGGGAGAUUGUUGGAAAUAUGCCCUGAAAGUCAAUCUUUGGAAGAAACCUUUCAGGACAAAUGAAUGGAUGUAUAGAUGACUCUUAUACAUCAAAUGGCAAAGAUACUAAUUAGGACCAUCUCAAUGAACGAUAUAUGUCCUAAAUAGUUAAUCCAUGGACAAUGGAUCGAUUGAAGAAGUAAUCUAAUGAUGUUAGACUACAGAGACCUUCUUCACAUAAUCAUCAUGUCCAAAAGGUUCCUGGUCAUUGGAUUGUCGGAGGGAAACUGACAAUGCAUAGACCGGUACAUACUAUGUCCGCUUCAAUUGGAAGGAUGGAAAGUCUCAUCCCAUUCGUGUAGUGACACUAAGACAAGUAUGUAGGUGCUCAUUAAGGGAAUGAGUUCACAGAACACAAUCGAACGAGAGUACUUGCAUGGAGGUCUACUCACAUGUCAAGCAAGUAACUCUUAUGGUUGGAAUAAUGUAAGUAGUCCUUUGACCUGAGGCAUCGUCGUUGUCUUGUGGUUAAGUACUUGAUCUUUGAUUAUGUCAAAGUCACCCUAUUCGCAGGUGUCCACGGCAUAGUUGGGGUUAAGCCACUUAGUCAUGAAGGCAAGUGAAUGCGCAACAAGGAAUCUCUAAUCUUCGUUAAGAGAGGAAGAAUACUCUAAGAUAUGAUUCUGGAAUCUUCGGCCGAAGUAUCGAGCGUAAUAAAGGAAAGCAUUCCUAUACGACUCAAUUGAAUCAUAUAAGAAGAAGUAAUCACAUUAGGGGUUUGACAUAAUAUAUCCAUACCCCAAUGAUGUGAUUGAGAGUAUUGUUUUAGAGAAUGAUCGAAUUACAUUGUAAUUCCAACUGAAUAGGUUCUUCGAACAAAUUCUACAUUAGCUUGGGUAGCCAUGAUAUAUGGUUAGAUGUCACUCAUGGCUUGUGAGUUCUUCUAGAUGAUUAAAUGUAGUAGUCAAAGAAGAAGGUGAAUUAAAAUGAAGUUUUAAUUCACCAAGUGAUUGGAUUAAAUAUAAUCAAUUGGAUUGGUGCCAAUCACCUCACUGCCUUGCUAAUUAGAACCUAAAAUGAUUGUACAUCGAUACACUCUUGUAGUGAUACCACUAAUGGAUGAUGGAAAUAAUUAAUUGGAUUAAUUAAGUGUUGUGAUUAAUUAGAAAGUCUAGUGAAAUCAUAAAAGCGAUAUAAGAUCGUUUUGGGCUUAAAGAAACGUUCGGGUUUAAUCGGGCCCAUUGGGCCUAGACCCAUUGGGCUUUUAUUCAAGCAUAGGAUGACUUGAAACAAUAAAAGCCCAAAGCCCAAACCAAACACUAAAGGCCGACCACUUAAAGGGAAAGGGAGAGAGUGAAAGUCAAGUUGUUGACUAGGUUUCUUUUUGUCUAUAUAAGGAACUUUAUAGAGAUAUUUUUAAAAAGGGUUUUUGUGUGUUCAAAACAACUAAAGAGAAAAACAAAAUUACUCUCUCUUCAACACCAAAGGCCGGCCACCUUAAGGGUGAUUUUAGCUAAUCAUCUUUUCACCCUUUUGGUCAUUCCUCCAUCCAUCUCACUACACUAGUGGGUGUGGAUCUUUAGAGGUCUUCUACUUUGGAGACUAAAGGAGAACCAAAGGAGCACUCAUACUAACAAAGUGGAAGAGGCAAGGAGGGAGGCUAGGCUCAAGGAGUUCAAGGAACAAAGGGCUUGGAGGUGGUCCAUCCUUGGUCUAAAAUCUAGAUCAAGAGGUAUAGAUCUAUUCCUACACUUUGUUCUUUACUUAAAUGUUAUGAUGCAUCAUAUAUUAACCUAUGAACCUUGAAGGGGAUUUGCAUGACUAUAGCUUUGAUAUUAUUUGAUAACAUGCUUCCGUUGCUUUCGUAUAUAAAUUUGGAAUUGUAUAUGCAUGCUAGUCAUUAGAAAUCCCACAUGAAUCUCAUAGAUUUCCCUUCACUUUACUGCUCGAAGGGCAAGCCGUAGGCAGUCUUUCGGAAUAUGUAGGCUACCUUAGUGCACUCAGUAGCAGCUUUAGGAUUCCAGGGCAGCCGUCCAUCGGAUGUACUGCGUAAUGUGCCCUCUCCGUUUCUAGGGCCUGGUUCCCCAUGGAUUAGGCCAAGAGACGCAAAAUCCUUCAGUUAGCUAAGCCUUGAAAAAGACCAUUGCGGCUACUUCUAGGAAUCCCGGUGCAAGCCAUCGUGCAUCUAGUUAUACUAAGGCAGCCCGGCUCAUCCACGUCUGGAUAUUCAGAGUGUAGAGUUUAUCCUCCCGUUCUUGGAGAGCUGACCCAUGUGGGUGUCGGGGAAUUGGUUUACCCUCUCGCAUUACAGAGCAAUUAGUUUACCCUCUCGCACUAGAGAUGAUGGUUGGUCCCUCGGGGGGCGCAAUUCCUGCGGUAAGCCCCUAAGAAGGGCGGUCUUCUUUUGAAGUGCAGGAGUGAUCAGUUGUUGUAAGCAUGCAGCCAAGCCAAGUCGUGAUUACUUCUAAAUUCCUCAUUGAAAAACGAGUUAAACGAACAAAAACUUAGAUGUAAGGUAAGAACUGCAUAACAACUGGAUAAUCCUCGGCUGGUGAGGUAGUGCCCGUCGAGCUGCUUGAGUCUUCGGGCUUUGAUGUAGCGAGAGGUCACACAUGGUACUUCCUCAGAUUGUAGGCGUUCCACUGUUUUUCGAUAUUUUUGUCAUUUUAUGGUGGCGAGGGUGUAAUUGUUCUUGCCACCUACUCUGCUGAUCUUGUACGGACUUUCCCAGAUGGGAUCCAUAUUUUUUUAGCCUUUUCUGUUGCAGUUUUAUGACCAGAUCUCCAGGCUAGAACUGUCGGAUCUUGGCCCUUUUGUUGUAGCUGGAAAGGAGCUGAUGCUGGUAGGCUGCGAUGCGAGUGAUAGUCUGUUCGCGCCUCUCUUCUGCCAGAUCUAAGCUUAUGGCCAUCUCCUUUCGGUUGCUCAUCUUUUGGUUGUGCGAUAUGCCCAUGGACAUCCUUGGAGUUCGUCUGGCCAUUUUCUUUUCUUAUUGGUGAAGUAGUCGGUUGCCACGAUCAUCAUUCCUUUGCCCCUAAUAGUCUGGCUGGUGAUUAGCUAGGACUCGGAAUGAAUUGAAAGCUUUUUCACCAUCAAGUCUUUUGUCAUUCGAAUGCCUGCUAGUGGGGCUUCGUACUCUGCUUCUUUGUUAGAUGCUUUGAAGCUUAGAGUGAUCGCCUGCUUAAGCAUUGAAACGUCUGGGGUGGCAAGAACCACGGCUGCUCACGAGCCUUCGUAGUUGGAUGCGCUGUCGACAUGCAAAUGUCAGAAAUCUCCACUGAGGGAGCAGGUGUGGCUAAACUGUGCUCGGCUACCUUCGGGGCGUCGUUGGGCCGAGUUGUUGCGUUCGUAAAAAAACUUGCAUCUGCUAGGGUCUACGCCUUUAUCGUCGCUGGUUUGGAUUCGGCUUGCGUUUGAAGGUAAAACUUAAGCUUUUGGGUUACAACAAUUAUCGCCAAAGUUAGCUUUUGAAUUUUUAAUAGCAUCGAUGAGAGCUUUUGAACUGUAGAAUACAGGUAGUCGGGCCCCCAGCUCUUCUCGCAUGAUGGUAGAAUUUAUUGCUACUUUAGAUACCGUCAAACAUGCGAAUAAGUCCUCCACUGCUUCUAGGGAGGUGAUGUCGGGUACUUCUUCAAGUCCUUGAAUGUGCAUUGGCGAGCCUCAUCCCAAAGUGCAUGUUUCUCUGCCAAAUCAAAAGAAUCUGCCAGAGUUAGAUCUUCUUUCAUGAUCAAUUUUUCGAAUAGCAGGUGGUCUACUGGAAGUCCUUUUUGGAAGGUUGCUCUAGCUAUCGAGUCGUUGCAUCCGACUAUUUUUGCCUUCUCUACUUUGAACCUCCUCACAUAGUUGCGAAGCGACUCCUUUGGGUUCUUCUUGACGUCGAACAAAUGGUCAGACUUCUUUUUUAUCGAGCGAUAGGAUGAAUAUUCUUUGGUGAAAACCAAAGAAAGUUCGUAGAAAUUUCGGAUGGAUUGUGGCGGCAGGGUAUAGAACCAAUCUUGCGCCUCGCCUUGUAGAGUUGUGGCGAAUAUCUUGCACAUGAGAUCAUCGUUGUUUCGAUAAAGGAUCAUUGCGCUUCAGUAGCGCUUUAAGUGUCUCUCCAGGUCUUCAUCCCCUUUGAAAGAUGUGAAAUGUGGCAUGCUGAACUCGCGUGGAGGCUCUGCUUGCUCGAUCUCGUCCGUGAAGGGUGACCUGCUUAUGUUGGUCAUGUUCUGUCGUAGUGCCUCGUCGGUGACCUUGUUGCGUUGGAAAUCAUGCAAUCGCUUGGUCAAGAGUCUCUCUACUUCUUCCUGAAUUUACCUUUGUUGGGGUAGCGGAGCUCUCGGCUACCCCUAGACAUGACUUGCUGGUCUAGGCUGCUCUUCCAUGUGUUUAGCUCGUCUAUGCCGCGGAUGCAGUGCAUGUGGUGCGUUCCUAGCAGGCGAGCGAGUUCUUCGCAGGUUGCUGGUUCAACUUGAGCUAGAUUGAGUGACUACUUCUCUCCGUCCGUCGUGCUGCCUACUCUGAUGUGAGGUGGAGGAUGCUCCUUGUGGGCUUAGCCGCAAAUAGACACUUUGCCCGGAAGGUUGCUUAUGUUGACUAUCAGAGUAUGACCCUAACCGUGAAUGUAUGCUUAUCCGUGGGCCUAAUCGAGAGUGCAUGCUCCUCUGCGCGCUAAGACGGGAAUGUACACUGCCCAAAUGUUUGACUCGUGGCUGGUCGAGUGGCUACUUGCCGGGACACUGCUGGAAAGGUCCGUCUGCCCUUGUCCUACUUCAGGAUACCUCGUCCGGGGCACGUUGGAUCCCGAUGCGUUGCAAAAGUUGAUUCACCAAGGCUGUCUGUUGUGCAAGGGCGCACGUCAACUCUAUGACUUGUCGAGACAAGUGUUGUUCGCCAUUUGGAUUGGAAGAGCUUGGAAGGAAUGCGCCUCCUUGGGCAGUGGAAGGGUGGUAGACUCCGGGCGCGAGAUUUGAGUUGGGAAAUGUUAAAUCCGCGAAAAAAAUGUGGUGAGAAUGCCCCCAGCUCAAUGUCAGGUCCGGAUGGUUGAGAUAGUCUUGAGCUGACUUAGGCUGCUUGGAAAGCCACAGGAGCAGGCUGGGCCACGAGAGCAGGCUGGGCCGUGAGAGUGGGCUGCUCGACUGGAGCUGGCUGGGCCACGGGAGUAGGUUGCUAGUCGGGAGCAGGCUGGGUCACGAGAGCAGGCUGCUCGGCCGGAGCAGGUUGGGCCGUGAGAGUGGGUUGCUCGACGGGAGCAGGUUGGGCCACGGGAGUGGGCUGCUCGAUGGAAGCAGGUAAAGGAAAUUUUGUGAAAAACAUUUUCAUUUAAGCAACAUCUAUAGCAUGCAAUUAACAAUUAAAAUGUGGAAUCAUGCUUGUAUGCACUUAAAAACAAAACAUUAACCAUGAACUUCAAAGCCUAGUAGAUUGGUGAACCUUGACUCAACUUAAAAAUACAUUUGUUAGUUGAGAAAUUAUACCUUUGUAGAUUCCUCUUUGCAUAAGCAAAGGCUAAUCACCCAAAGAGAGGGCCUUCAUUCCUUGCAUCUUAGAUCUAUGGAUUUGGAUGGAUGAAAUGGUUCUCCAAGUUCCCAAAAUUGAGAACCUCUAAGUCUCUUCACCAAGGUUAGAUUGGAGAAGAAAUGAGUGACCUUGGAGUAGUAGGAUUGCUAGCUAAAUCCUCCAAGGAGGCCGGCCACUUUAGAGAGAAAUGAGAGCUUAUGUUCUCAUCCUUUCCCCAAAAGAAAACCCUAAAUGAAUUUUGGCUAUAAAGUCAUAUUUAUACCUUUAUUCAUUGGAGUGGCAAACUUGUAAUUAAGUCCAAAACCCACUCCUUUAACAAAAUGGCCGGCCAUAGGGUUUCAUUGGGCUUUUAAGGCCUUUAUGAAUUAUUUGUAAUUAAGUUGUCAUACAACUUAAGUCAAUGGGCUUGACGUUCGAAGCCCAUUGGGCCUUGAGGCCCAAAACUAACCCGUGGUCUUUUAACGAACUUCAUUCGUUUGAUUAAUUAACAUAUUAAUUAAUCCUUGCCAUAAAUAAUUAAACCAUUUAAUUAUUCUUACUCAUCUCCAUUGUUUCUUCAAUAUAUACCUUACACGGUGUACGAUCCAUUAGGUUCAUUUUAGCGAGGCAGUGGGCGAUUAAAACUCUUUCAAAUCGAUUGUGAAUUGAAACUUACUUUCAAUUCUCCCUUUAGUGAUUAUACACGUUUAGGGCUUCCACAAACCAUGAGUGACACCUAGCAGUAUGUCAUGGUUACCCAAGCUAAUCAGAAGAGGUGGAGAACCUAUUCAAUUUAGGAUUACAAUGCAAUACGGUCUUUCUCUAAUACAAUACUCUUGAUCACAUUGUUUGGAUUGAUAGUUUAUUCAUGUCUACUAUCCAAUGUGAUUCGUGUGCUUAUAUGAUUACCUUGAAUGUGAUUUGGAACGACUUCCUAAAUAUCAUUCAUACUCUGGCCAGAGAUUCUUAAUCAUAUCAUAGAGUAUUCUCCCUCAAACGGUUUGAAGGUUAGAGAUCCCUUGUUGCGCAUUCACUUGCCUCCAUGGCUAAGUGGCUUAACCCCAACUAUGCCGUGGACACCCUCUGACGGGGUGACUUUGACAUAGUCAAAGAUCAAGGACCUAACCACAAGACAACUAUGAUGCCUCAGGUCAAAUGACUACUUUGCAUUAUCCCAACCAUGAGUUCUCAUGUGACAUGAAUAUGAGAACUCUUCGUUGAUCGUGUUCAGUGAACUUAUUCUCUAUUGAGCACCUACGUACUUGUCUUGAUGUCACACACACCAAUGACUCGAGACUAGUCACUCUCCAUGAGAGAAGACACAGCACGUACUGAUCUUAACGGACUGUCAAUGCCCAAUUGGCAAUCCUAUGAUCAGGAACGUUUAGGAUGUGUCUACGAAAGAAUGGUCUCAUGAAUCUAACUUCUUUAGAUCGCAUUCUCCCAAUCACAUAUUCCUUGGACUUAUCGUUUAAGCGUAUAACAUUUAUAUGAAACGGCUCAAACAAUAAUCUUUGCCCUUGAUAUUAAACUAGAUUAGUUUAACAUCUGAAAUGUCCAUAAAGUAUCAUCAUAUGAUUGGUUUUAGGGCACAUUUCCAACAAUCUCCCACUUGCACUAGAGCCAAUCAGCUUGGUCAUCAGUGAUGAUACCUCUUCUGUAGUCAUUUCAAAAAUGGCUGAGUAGUAGGCCUAGACAAUGGAUAUCUAUAUGUUAUCCAUAGAAGCAACCUUGAGAAUAACGACGUCACCAUUAUACAUGAUUCUCAAUCAUGUGGUUCAGUCUCUCAUUUGAGUUCGAAUCGUGAUGGGACCUUGAUUCCCUAGCUUGAGCUAUCGCCCCAUUAGUGUCAUAGUGUCAGUACACUAGAGACACUUUCUAGUUGGAACCGAAUAGAGAGUUCAUAAAUGAACUUUUCCAUCCAAACAACAUUGUUGUAAGCUUCUAUAUGGCAAUAUAUUUUGCAUUCUUAAUGGAACACACUAAAGUCAUUACUUUUAAUGUUUCCAUCCAAAUAUCUCUUUUAGUCAUAAUAAAGGGAUAUCUGAUUAUCUCUUCAUUCAUAAUGAAGAAACAUCCAAUGAUGGAUUAGAUUCAUAAUCUAAUACAUUUACGCUUCCUUAACGUUACUCUAAUUCUUCCUCAUUCUUUGAGGAAUCUAUCCUUUAGUAUUUCUUAAAUACUUAAGGACUCACUUGACAGUUGCCAUGGUUCUGAUCUUGGGCUUGCAUUGAUAUUGUCUUGUACCGAUCUAGGUACAAUUCAUAUCAAUGUUUUUCAUACAAUAUGAAAUUCAUAAAUCACCUUUCUGCGUAUGCAUAAAGGAUUCUAUUUACGCAUUAUUUCUUUGGGAGUCAAAAGGCACGUUCCCUUUGAGAAGGGCAACUUGCUAGUCUCACUAGAGUCGUCCUUCUAAUUGAAGUUUAUCAUCAUAUGAGAAACUUCCUAGCAUCUCUUGUCUAUUAUUAGGGCUUGAUAUAAUCCAAUUAUAUCCUAAAAUCUAUCAAUAUAGAUUUCCAUCCCAUGUAUAUAUAUUAUGUCUCCCAUAUACAUUCUAUCUUCAUAUAAUGUUUUAAAGUCAUAACUUUAACGAAGAAGUAUUCUUUUCAUUUCCAAAAUCAAUAUAUCAUAUAUUUGUAUAUAUAUAUAUAUAUAUUCAAAUUUAGGAACAUGAUUAACUCCCACUAAUCUUUUGUAAACCUAGUAAACAAAAGAUUCAUUUACAUCUUUAUGAGAAAUCAAACGUUUUGAUCUUUCUCUCAUAAGACGUUUACAGCUCCCACUAGCUUGCUAAGAUCCAUGAUGGUUGGAUCUCUACAACUUACAUGUCUUGUGAUUCAUAGUUUUAGACAUAUAUUAUCAAGACUAUCUUAAUAAUGGUUUCGGAAACCUAUAUUAUGUCCAAACAUUGAAUCACCAUUUAGUUGUAGCUAGCAAUCUUCGAAUUAAUUGAAACCAAGACUAUCUCAAAGAUGGUUUCUUCAAAGUCAACCAUUCUCUUUGAUUGUAGUCACCUUAAGCUACCAAUUAGCUUAUGAAGGUUUCAUUAUUUCGGGUCAAAUGGUACUUUACCAUUUCCUUGAGUAUAUAUCAUAUAUACACUCAAUGUAGUCAUAAGGAUUUUCAUUCUUAUUUGUUUCGAUUUAAGAGGUGUAACUCUAUGACAUAGUCAUAAAGUUCAAACCAUUCAACUGAAACAGUUUAUAAAUCCUUCUCGACUACCUUGGAGCUUGUGGUAUAGGAACUAGGUUGUUAUAUUUGUUGAUUAUUAUCUUGUCUCUCAAAGAACCCAUUCUUUGAGUUCUAUCUCUCAUUCAUUUGCACUUAGGCAAAUCAUAUUGUUAGAUUACAAUGAACUACCCAACAAAACAACAUUUGUUAGUUGGUUUAUAGAAGCGAUAUCCAAAAGUUAAUUUAAGGAUAUCCCACAAGAUUGUUAUCAAACAAAUAUUGCUUAUUAGCACACAACCCCAAAUCUUAACAUGCUUGAGAUUUGUCUUUCUUUCCAACUACAUCUUAUGGAGUCAUGAAAAUUUUGGAAGAUCUUCUAAUUGACAAUCAUAUUGUUUUUAGAAGUAUAUAUCCUAUAUAUGGGUAAUAGAUAACAUCUAAUGAACUGAAUCUUAUUCGAGUUCGUUCUUCUCCUAAUGGAGAAAUUCAUUAUCUUAUGAUGCUUCUUUCCUUGAUAUUUUUCAAGGAAACUGUUCUAAAGUGUUAUCUUUCCUUGGAUCAAAUCUAAGGAGGCAAAUACUUUAGACGUCUUACUCAUCAACUUACAUUUCUUGAAUUCUUUGAAACCUUUUGCAAAGUAUUCGGACUUGUGUUUAUUCAAAAUAAACUAUAGUCCAACCGAGAGUGAUCUUCGGUGAAUGUCAUACAACAUGAGUAGUAUUAUGUUGUGGACAAGUGCCACUAACCUCUAAGUGAAUUAACCUCAACAACUUUGUGAUUCUUUCUUCUUUCCAAAAGAAUAAAGAUUCGAACAUUUCGCCUCUAUACAAUUUUAAUAAGAAGGUGUUGGAUUCGGAUCUAACGAUCUAAAGCAUCCAUCUAUGACCAACUCGUAAUUUAUGUUUUAGAGGUAUCACAAUUUUAGUUGGGAUUAGUCACUACCUUGCAACCUUUUGGGUUUUAAGCAUCGUUAUAUUCUAAACAGUUAACACUACCAUAUCAUCUCUACUAUAGAGACAAUCAAUUAGAUUACUAUAAUCCAAUCAUUGACUAAUAAAGAACAAUGUUUUGUCAAACAAAACAUUCAUCCAUCUCUACUAUAGUGACGGAAUUAAGUUCCUUAAAAUUGGAAUGUAAAGACAAUCUUUGGUUUUUCCAAUUUCUUUGGUAGUUCAUAUGAGGAAGUAAGUACUAUCUGCUGUCGCAGAGAUCUUUAUUUUAUUCACGUUCCGAAUGUGAAGCACCUUUUUCUUCUCUCAUAUAUCUUCUACUUCUUACUAGUCACACUUUUACAACGAUUGUAAAACAUAGUUACUAAUACGGAAUCAAGCAUUCAAGUAGAAGAACCAACUGUUUUGAACUAUUCAAGAACAAUUUACAACACCUUCGAAAGGUGUGUUCUUGACACUUGCAAGACAAUUCUUGCAAAUACCCCUUCCAAUGUCCAUCCUUUCAUAAAGAAAGUUUGUUCCCUUGGAGUUAUUUCGCUUUCUUCAUUUGACUUCUCCUUUGACUACAAUAGUCAUGGUCCCUAAACUCCCACUAUCUCUCUUGAAACUUAUUUCAAUUGUGUUAUACACAUCAAACAAUUUGGAGAGCGUGUGGUUAUUGUUCACUAUAUAGUUUACAAUAAACUUAGUGAACCAUUUGGAUAGGGACACAAAGGUGAAGUCCUUGCCUAGUUUCCGUUUCUAGAAGUGGUUUAACACUUCAACACUCAAUGAUUCAAAAACAUCAUAAGUCCAUGUUGAUGGACUAUUUUUGUCAACCAACCAUUAUGUUCUAAACAUAAUUACAAACUUUCAAGAGUUGUUCAAGGCAACUCUCAUUUCUUCAUACAACAAUUUGUAAGUGAAGAAUCAUGGCACAUAAAGUGUCCAUGCCUUUGUGCUUUCUUCUAAAGUUCCUUGUUCAUGUAACAAAGAAACAAGCACUAAUGUUUGCAUUGACUAAGGGUUGUUCAAACCAACUCUUAUUUCUUCAUACAACGAUUUGUAGGUGAAGAAUUAUGACAUUAAAAGUGUUGUCCUCCUUAUGAUAGACUUAUCUAACAUUUUCUUCCAAUGGUACAUUAUCAAUAGGAAGAUUGUGAGGAUGAGACUACUUAGGUACAUAUACAAUCCAUUUAAGACAAUCUUUGGGAUUGUUGUACCAAGUCCGGAAACUAAAGCAUUCGGCUUUUCUUUGUCAAGUUUUGGAUAGCAUUUGCAAAUAUAUAGGUAAACAAAUACAUAACGAAUAUAAAUUGAUUGAUUUUAAGCCAUUUGAUUCGGGUCUUUAAAUCAAAUAGCACCACCCACUAUUUUUGGCAAAUUCCAUAUCCCUCUUUGGAAUUCGAGAGUUUUUGAUGAAACUCUUAGUAGGGUAUGGGAGACUCACCAUUACCAAGCCCACCUCAGAAGAAUAUCAUAUUGGCUAGCAACAAUAAUGAUGAGAGGAUAAUGCUUUAGCCAUUUACAACUUUUGUAAUUACCCAUCUAAUUUGGCCUCUAGAAAAUGAUGCCUCAGAAGAAUAUCAUGUUGGCACCAUUGCACUUAGUUAAGUCAUUCCCACCAUGCUAGUUCAAGUAGGGGUUCAAGAAUGGCCUCAGAAGAAUAUCAUAUUGACCAUACUCGUUGCCUACCUUCACUUCAUCAUAUGUUUAUAGGCUUCUCCUGAAUGUAAGCACAUACUUUGCAUACCCCAGAACUAGACGAAUACGGUGUAUGAGUCACAAACGAUUGAAGCCCACCAUGGUGGAAGGCCUACGAAGAGAUGUUCAAAGCAUCUCUCGCUGAUCAACUUAAUAAUGGUUUGGUUGAGGGUUUUAGGUCUCAUCACAUAUAAAUAUUCAUUUUAAUCUUUAUUAAAACAAUUUUGGUCCUAUUACAACUAUUGGUCCAUUUGAUUGAAUUUAGUUGUAUAUAAUACUCCCACUAUGCUUAUAAAACGGUUUUUAAAGCAAGAGUAUAUGAUACUACUAACAUAAACUUUGCAUUCAUUUGAUGGACUAUAUAGUUGCCUUAGGGCCUUAGGAUGACUAUGAACCUUUGUUUAGAUUCAACACGAGCCUAGUGUUGAAUCUCGGUCUAGGGAUGGUGAUUGAUUUUAGUUACGCGUUUAAUCACAUUAAGGCGUGUUGUCUUAGGGGCAUUGGACCCUCUACUCCAUUUUCAUGCAUAUCAAAUAAUACAAGAAAUGAGUACUUCAAAGUAAAGAUGAGCUUAUGCUGUUUACAACAUUUGAAUAAAACAAAUUACUUUAAAGUAAAGAAGAGCUUAUGCUCUUUUACAACAUUUGAUCAAAUCAAAUUACAACCAAAAUCUAAUCUACACAUUCCCAUGGUUCAAACAAAUUUGAAAUGGCCUUUCACAUAACUCAAUUAUCGUAGGCUUAGGUUCAUAAUCACCCUUUAAUUAAUUAACACUUUAACUAAUUAAAUUGAAUGCAACAUUUUCAUUUGGUUUUUGUAUCCAUAAAAUUGAUUUAAAUGGAGCUAAAUGAAAUGAAAAUCCAAUUCUCAUUUAAAGAGACAAAACCAUUUUGGGGUCACUUUGUAAAAACACAAAAGUCCACUACUUCAUGUAAUUAAUUACAACUAGAACCCAAAAAUUUCAACAAAUUCAAAAACUUCAUUAAAGGAACAAAACAAUUUGUCCUUUAAUGAUUUUGGGCCUUUAGGUAAAUACGUAAACUUUUGGGUCAAACUACAAAUUACACAAAAAUACCAAAACUUUAUGUAAUUGCAUAAAAGCCCCAAAAACACUCCACUUGUAGGGUGGCCGGUUUUGGAGAGAAGGGAGUGGCGUGUGUGUUGAUUUGUAGUUUUAGACAUAAAGCAUGCAAGUGGUGCAUGACAUAAAUGUCAUGCAAGUGGUGUGUGAAAGGGAAUUAAUCCUUACACACCCACCAAUAUUUCUUACACCUUUCUAAAUAAAUUUCUAACACAUUUAAACAUUUGAAAAAUAUAAAACAUAAACUUUAUGAAAUAAAUCAAAACUUUGAAUCAAAACACCAAACUUUUUGUUCUUGGCAAAAAUGUCAAGAACAAUGAAGAACACUCAUGAAAAACUCAAAAAAUUUCCAUGAACAUUUUUCACCCAAAAGCAUCCCAAAACCAUUCAAACUUAAGGGAAAUAACAUAUAACCAAACUAGGGUACAUAGGGGUUCCAAAAGUCACUUGAAAACACUUUUAACAAGUCAAACAAGAACCCAAAAAUCCACCCUUUGGAUUUGGCCGAAAAUUCCCAAAAACAUGGCACCAAAUUUUAGCUCCAAUAUUCAUGCUCAUAUGAACUACAUCUACAACAUUUGAGAUGGCAAAUUUUCCAACAAAAUUUACAUUCAAAGAAACAAGAAUAAAGCUUGUAACAUAUUACAACAUUUAAAUCAAAACUAUGAACUACAAAACCCAAAAGGAUUCACCAACUACUAGACCUAGGCUCUGAUACCACUUGAAGGAAAUUUUGUGAAAAACAUGUUCAUUUAAGCAACAUCUAUAGCAUGCAAAUAACAAUUAAAAGGUGGAAUCAUGCUUGUAUGCACUUAAAAACAAAACAUUAACCAUGAAAUUCAAAGCCUAGUAGAUUGGUGAACCUUGACUCAACUUAAAACAACAUUUGUUAGUUGAGAAAUUAUACCUUUGUAGAUUCCUCUUUGCAUAAGCAAAGGCUAAUCACCCAAAGAGAGGGCCUUCAUUCCUUGCAUCUUAGAUCUAUGGAUUUGGAUGGAUGAAAUGGUUCUCCAAGUUCCCAAAAUUGAGAACCUCUAAGUCUCUUCACCAAGGUUAGAUUGGAGAAGAAAUGAGUGACCUUGGAGUAGUAGGAUUGCUAGCUAAAUCCUCCAAGGAGGCCGGCCACUUUAGAGAGAAAUGAGAGCUUAUGUUCUCAUCCUUUCCCCAAAAGAAAACCCUAAAUGAAUUUUGGCUAUAAAGUCAUAUUUAUACCUUUAUUCAUUGGAGUGGCAAACUUGUAAUUAAGUCCAAAACCCACUCCUUUAACAAAGUGGCCGGCCAUAGGGUUUCAUUGGGCUUUUAAGGCCUUUGUGAAUUAUUUGUAAUUAAGUUGUCAUACAACUUAAGUCAAUGGGCUUGACGUUCGAAGCCCAUUGGGCCUUGAGGCCAAAAACUAACCCGUGGUCUUUUAACGAACUUCAUUCGUUUGAUUAAUUAACAUAUUAAUUAAUCAUUGCCAUAAAUAAUUAAACCAUUUAAUUAUUCUUACUCAUCUCCAUUGUUUCUUCAAUCUAUGCCUUACACGGUGUACGAUCCAUUAGGUUCCUUUUAGCGAGGCAGUGGGCGAUUAAAACUUUUUCAAAUCGAUUGUGAAUUGAAACUUACUUUCAAUUCUCCCUUUAGUGAUUAUACACGUUUAGGGCUUCCACAAACCAUGAGUGACACCUAGCAGUAUGUCAUGGUUACCCAAGCUAAUCAGAAGAGGUGGAGAACCUAUUCAAUUUAGGAUCACAAUGCAAUACGGUCUUUCUCUAAUACAAUACUCUUGAUCACAUUGUUUGGAUUGAUAGUUUAUUCAUGUCUAUUAUCCAAUGUGAUUCGUGUGCUUAUAUGAUUACCUUGAAUGUGAUUUGGAACGACUUCCUAAAUAUCAUUCAUACUCUGGCCAGAGAUUCUUAAUCAUAUCAUAGAGUAUUCUCCUUCAAACGGUUUGAAGGUUAGAGAUCCCUUGUUGCGCAUUUACUUGCCUCUAUGGCUAAGUGGCUUAACCCCAACUAUGCCAUGGACACCCUCUGACGGGGUGACUUUGAAAUAGUCAAAGAUCAAGGACCUAACCACAAGACAACUAUGAUGCCUCAGGUCAAAAGACUACUUUGCAUUAUCCCAACCAUGAGUUCUCAUGUGACAUGAAUAUGAGACUCUUCGUUGAUCGUGUUCAGUGAACUUAUUCUCUACUAAGCACCUACGUACUUGUCUUGAUGUCACACACACCAAUGACUCGAGACUAGUCACUCUCCAUGAGAGAAGACACAACACGUACUGAUCUUAACGGACUGUCAAUGCCCAAUUGGCAAUCCUAUGAUCAGGAACGUUUAGGAUGUGUCUACGAAAGAAUGGUCUCAUGAAUCUAACUUCUUUAGAUCGCAUUCUCCCAAUCACAUAUUCCUUGGACUUAUCGUUUAAGCGUAUAACAUUUAUGUGAGACGGCUCAAACAAUAAUCUUUGGCCUUGAUAUUAAACUAGAUUAGUUUAACAUGUGAAAUGUCCGUAAAGUAUCAUCAUAUGAUUGGUUUUAGGGCACAUUUCCAACUGCAGGCUGGACCACGGGAGUGGGCUACUCGUCGGAAGCAGGCUGGGUCACAAGAGCAGGCUGCUCGGCAUAAGCAGGUUGGGCCGUGAGAGUACGUUGCUUGACGGGAGCAGGCUGGGCCACGGGAGUGGGCUGCUCGAUAGAAGCAGGCUGGACCAUGGGAGCAGGCUGCUCGUCGGAGCAGGCUGCUUAACAGGAAUAGGCUGGGCCACGAGAACAGGUUGCUUGGCGGGAGCAAGCUGGGCCGCGAUAGCAGGUUGCUUGGCGGGAGCAGGCUGCUUAGUAUUUGAUGCAUGCGAAUGCAAGGCUUGGGCCCGAGCCCGUGCAAACGUGGAUGGCACGACUUGGGCCGUGGUGAAGGCACCAUGGACCUCGCCACUGUGGUGGUUCCCAUGGUGGAAACUCGUGGUGGUGGUGGUGCUCCACUUAUUGUCACAUUUAGCCUCACGGAUCUCUUUUUGUGCGAGAGUCUUCUACGAGUAUGGAUUUCAACUCUCAAUGAAAGCACCAAUUUGUGGAUGCAAAUUUUCUCCUCCUCGAUCUUGGACGAUUUUGCACCUACAAAACAACUAGCACCUUAGGUUAAGGCCAAAAGCCUCACGCACCCACGAUGAAUGGGGGGGGCUUUGGCCGAAGAACCUCCGAUGCCAAAAUUAGAAUUUUAGAGAGAAAUAGUGUUUAGAGUAUUUGGGAUUUUUUGUAAGAGAAUUGGCAUGAUCUUUUGGUGAAAAUUGGAAUCUAUUUAUAGGGAUAGGGGUGGCCGGCCUAGCUAGGGUUUUUGUGUUUGAUUUAGGUUUAAUUAGCCAAUUUAUUUGGCUAUUAAACAUAAAAUGAAUGUUUUGGUGGUUUUUGGAAUUAAUUGGCUAGUUAAUUAGGGUAAUUAAAAAGGGAUAAUAGUGGAAAAGGUGAAGAAUAAGAUGGUUUACUUUUCUUGAUGGGAUUGGCCGGCCACUUUAGUAGUUUUAGGUUUGGAUGGGUGUUUCAAUUGAUAAUUAAGGGAUUAAUUAGGUAAUUAAUCCCUUAAUUAGUCAAUUAUUAUGAUUUUAGGAAAUAUGAAAGGAAUAAGUAUAUUAUUUAGCUAAUUGAUUAGCUAAAUAAUGAAAUGGAAAAUAUAUGAAUAAAUUAGGUUUUAAGUUGAUACCUAUUUUGGACACUUUUGACUUGGUUGAGGGAUAAUUGCCUACUGCUUGCGCGUAGGAAUCCCAGUAUGCCUCAAGGGUAGUUUUAUCUUCUUUUGUCAAAGAUCCAUGUGUCGCCUGUGAUUAUUUUUGGCUCCACGAUGAUUUUUGCACUUUCGUUGUUUUUUUUUUUUUUUUUUUUGGUUCUGAGCACACCUCGAUUUGUUUUUGGUCGUGCAGGGGAAGCAAAUGGGCUUGCGGAUAUCUCGCUGCAUAACAAGUGGCAGGUAUUGACUUGAAUUAUUCAAUUCGUUUGGAACACAAGAUAGUCCAUAUGCUCAGAACUUGCCGAAAAAUAGUGGUUACCAGUGAUGCUAACAGAAAGACUUUUCUUCUAGCAUUGGUGGAAUCAUACCAACUUGUUACAUAAAAGAAAAGUAUAAAACAGUUGAACAUCGUGUGGUUGCUCGGUAAUCUCACGUUUUACAUUCGCUGAAGCAUUGAUGUUUAACAUAAGCGUGGAAAGACCGAUUCAACCAUACGCUCUCAAUGUUGAUAUUUCCGAUCUGGGUUGAAUUAUUUGUCUUCAUUUUUCCUCAAACUUGAUUAAUAAUUUCUUGUAAGUUUCUCAAGAAAAUUUAUUGAAAAAGAUGAAAUGAUACACUGUUAAAAGGGUGGCAAAACAAAAAAGGCCACAAAAUUAAGAAGCAAAUAUCUGCUUCAACGUAAACUAGGCCCUAGCUUAAUUUCUCAAGAGUGAUGUUAUUCCCACCCUAAUGUUUUAUCUUCCCACCCACCUUUUAAUGAAUUUUUUAAUUAAAAAUUUGUCCAUUUACAAAAAGACUGAUAAGGUACAUUAAUUAUCUUAUUUUGCUUAAUUAAAAAAAUAAAAAAACAGGUUGGGCAUGGGAGGCAAUUUGUCUACCUUGAACCCGAACUCAUAUUUUCAUCUUCGUUCAUUCAGAGAAAAUAUAAAAAUAGCAAUGGACUUAGAAGGUGACUUUUUCAUUGAACAAGUAAAAGAUGACGCUUCUACGGAAGAAGUAGAAGAUUUGUUUUCAUUGAAAAGGUAGAAGAAUAAUUUGUGUGUAGGUAAUUUGAAUUUGUCCAUCGUAUUUUUAAAUUUGUCGUUGUCGAAUUCUUUUGAAUUUGGAUACCUCUAUCAUUUCCAUUUGAAUUUGCAGACCUUAGUCGUUUUCAUUUACAUAUUAUUUGUUAUAUUUUUUAAGAGACAAUUUUAUAAUUUCAUAUGUACGUAUAUAUUAAAGGUUAUUUUGGGAAUAAUAGUGGGUGGAAAAAAUAACAUUUUACUUUUUUAACUUUUUAAGGUGGAUGAGAUUAUAAUGUGAGUGAGAAAAUAAAAACAAUGGGGUGGAUUUAGUAGCUCUUUUUCUCAGUCAAUAUAAUUCCAUUAUUUGCACUGACAUAUUUGAGAAAAAAAUUGAAAUUAAACAUAUCAACCAAAACUAAUGAAAAGGGACACAAGACUUCUGUUUGUAGCUAGAAAAUUAUUUAGAGACUGGAGAUGUCUUCCGCAUUUCCCUUUUUUUUUAUAUAGGAACUUUCAUGAAAAUGAUUUGUGCUAAGUUUAUUUUAAUAAAAAAGAAUCAUGCUAUAACUUUAUUUAAUAAAAAAAUAAAUAUUAAUGAAAAAACCUUAAAUUUUAAUAAAAAUAAAAAUAAAAAACUUGACGCGCAGGUGACACACCCCGUCCCGAAGGAGGGCAUGCUGGCCGUCACGUGAGAGUGACGUAACCAUUUGCACAGUACGGAAGCUUUAAUUAUACAAUUUAUAAGUUGAUACACCCGAAGGUGAGUCCUAAUUUUGUCCAAUCUGUCAGAACCCCGCUGUAUUCCUCGUAGUCACCACACCUUUGUGAUUCCUGAACCUGGAGGGGCGCAAAACCAAAAUUGAGUGGGUCAGUAAAACAAUUCUUUUCCAAAUCCAAACAUUUCUCAAAACGUUGUAACCCCUCUCCGUAAAACCUGUAUACUUUCCCAGAAAUGUAAAAUAUAAAUAUACAUAUAUAUUCUCAAAACUUCAUUUUUACUAUCUCAACAUUAUCUCUUUAUCAAUCAUGCCAUGCCAUGUCAUCUCAACAUUUCUCAUAUUAAUUAUGCCAUGCCACAUCAUCUCAACAGUAAUAAGGUAUGAAUGCAUCAACAUAAUCAUAUCAGGUGCAAGAAAGUAAUCAACCGUAGGCCCUCUAAUAGCCCUAUACGGUUGAACCUAGAGCUCAAAAUCUAUCAUUAUCACUCUACCGGAGUCACCUCUGUGACCCGUCCGGCCUUCUGCACACAAGUUACGCUCUAGUGCUUCUCAUAAAUCAUUUGUGCACAUAAUCUAAGGUCACCCACCAGUCGGAAUCUCACUAACACUCUCGCGACUGGUCUGUCGUACCCACUCCGCGUGGACUGUACGACUAGCAUCUACUUGGAUCCAAGGCGAGCGUGCGAUGCGGUGAAUACUAUAAGCACUAAACCAUGGUGCAGGAUUUGAGCUCAAUAUAUAUCAUCAUCAUCAUAACAGUAAUUAAAUACUCACCUGUGCGUCCACCGCACCAUUUCAUACAUAUGCAUCAUAAAUCAAUUCUUACCUGUGCGUCCACCGCACCAAUUCAUACAUAUGCAUCAUAUAUUAAUUCAUGCAUGGCAUUUCAACUCACAUUUCUAUAUACUUUUCAUAUCAAUUCUAUGCAUGGUAUUUCACUUCCCGUUUUUCCACAUAACUCAUAUGCAUUUCAUUUUAAACAUAAUUCAUGCAUUUUCAAUUUCUGGGAAAACGUUAAGUAUAUAUAUAUAUACGGAAAACAAAACUGCCCACUCACCUGGAGUUCGUCCAACAACUCCCUAGCACCACACAUCAAGGCGUCACGACGAUCGCCGCCUAGAAUAGUAAUCAAAUCCAACCUCAGAAUUCAUAUCGAUAGAAUAUAUAACUUAUAUAAAAUACGUCACUAUGUAGUUCGAUCCGGAAGAUCUGCCACUCAGAUUUUAAAUCCAUAACUUCCAGAGGUCCACAAUAUAUCUCUAGGAUAACAUCCUAAAAUUUCAUUACCAUCCAACGGUCGGAUCUCCGUCAAUUUCCAAAACUAAGUGACGGUUAACAUUUUAUAUUAUGGACUUACAAUUCCAAUUCCGGAAGAUCCGUAACUCGAAUUCCCAAUCCGUAAGUUCCAAUAAUCCUCAAAUAUUACGUAUUACAACGUAUCAAAGUUUGGUGACGAUCCAACGGUCGGAUCAUCAAUUCACAUUUUCACCUAAAUGUGAAAACUAUAAAACGUUAUUUGAACACCUAACCAACAAUCCUCAAUAACUUUCUCAUACGGUGUUCAAUUUAGGUAUAUAAAUAUACCACAAUGAUCUACUCGACGUCACGGACGUCGACAUAUUUUUAAAAUAAUUUUAUUUUUAUUUUUUUAUUUUUACUGUAGCACCUUCUUCUUCCUUGGGUCGCCGGACUGGUUUUUCCGGCGGCCGUUUUCCGGGCAGUUUUUCAAAUUGCCAUAACUUUGUCAUUUCUCAACGAAAUCAAGUGAUUCAAAAACGAAAGUUGUAGCCCUUGAAGAGACAAAGAGAAUGGUACCUUUCACAACACCUAGUUCGCCGUGGUUUGGCCGGAAACUGCCUCGAAAGCCUCGGAGGUCGCCGGAAACUGGGUAUUUUUCAAAUGAGUAUAACUUCUUCAAUACUCAACGAAAUUGAGUGAAACAAAAAGGAAAGUUGUAGUACUUGACGAGACGAAGAGAUUGAUACCUACCUCGACUCCUAACUCGCCGGGUAUUCUCCGGAAAACACCUCGAAAGCUCCGGCCAAACUUUGAACUUGUCGAUCUCCGUGUUCUUACGUCCAAAAACUUCCAACGAAGCACUCCGAGCUUCCUUGGGACCUCACUAAGCUUGCUAUGAUCUUAUUUUGGCCUAAAACACAACCACUUCAAAGAUCAUGAAUAGUACACAUUCACGGGGUCUUUAGAACUAGGGUUUUUCGAAAUGAAACUUACCUGAAAAUGGUACCUACGUGAUCGUGAAGUCCUCAGGGUUGCAAUGGUAGUCUUAACUUGGACGUUGGUAUAGGUUUUAGGUGGUUUUGGUGGUUUUGGUGGUUGCCCGUGCGUUCGAGAAGAAGAGAGAGAAUGAGAGUUUCUGAGGAAGAGCUGAGGAAGAGAGAGAGUAUGAAGGACAGUAUACGGGAAAUGGGGAGGGUUUUGAGGUGUGGGGAUCCCACAUGUCCAAACCAAUCCCAAUUUCAUAAAAUUCCAUCAUAAAAUUUAAGUCUAAGUCUCCACUCCAAUUACCAAAUUUUUUUGGAGCUUAGAUAUAACGAACGUGAAAAUUAUACCUUAGUCACAUAUUAGGGACAUUUCCGUAAUUUCAUGUCCUCGGAAUUAAAAAUUCCGGCACGGGCUGUGACAAUCUCCCCUCCUUAUAGAAUUUCGUCCCCGAAAUUCCAGCAACCAACCAAAUCAUCUAUACUCAUACAAUAGCCUCGGAUAAAUCUCUCUCAUCCGAUUCUCUUUCUCCCACACAAUUUUCUACUGAAUGAUUUCCUUCACAAAGCUUUUACUACUUACUCUGUCUUAAUUCUUAGGACCUUCUUUUUCCAAUUCAAAGUCGACAUUAGUUCCUCACCAAUCAGAUCCGGCUUAAUUCUCAAUAGUUGCACCAAAGUCCCAUGUAACGACUCUGCCACUUAGUGACAACGCAUCGAACACAAAAUACAUUAUGUGCCUUAGCCAAUUCUGAAGGCAUCACAAACUUGUAUGCAACUUUAUUGAUUCCUUUAGUAAAAAAAAAAAUGGUCUGAUGUGUCUAAAUCUUAUCUUGUCUCUUUUCCAAUUUUUCAUUCUCGUCAUUUCUGUUCGCGGUGAAUUUUCCAAAAAUAUCAAACCAUUUACCUUACACACUCGAUUAGUGGCAUAUCCAUCUGUUGAUCUCUUUUGCCAUUCCUGGUUACUUCAGGUUAACUUAAUCACCUGAAUACUUUGAGGAAACUCAUCCAUAGUCUCAGGGUCUACUAAAACUCUUUCUUGAUCGAAUCCUUCUCUACCCAGAAACAUUCCAUUCACAAAGUCAUCAAAAACCGACUCACAUGACACAUUUCAUGAUCCUUAUGGCGUUACUUCGGAAACUGCACAACCAACAUACUUAAGAAACUCAGCAGUUCCGUAAACCAAUUCUCUUUUCCAUAAAACAAAUAAGUAAUGUUGCACUGUCUGGGAAAGGUUGUUACUCAACACUGGAGUAAAUGUACUAACUUGUUACUUAACAAGUAAUAACUUCUUCUCGAUCUUCCAUUCUUAAUUUUUCUUCCGUUGGUUUUCAAUCCACAAGAUGAUACUCUUGGCAAACGUGCCAGACAUUAAUCUUACUGUAGUCUUCUCACCAAGUGCUUGAGCUAGAACAAACUUUACGAUCACCCUGAUCGUACAAUCAUGUUCAUUAAGCAAUUCAAUCCACCUUUGUUGCCUCAUAUUGAAAUCCUUCCGAGUAAACAAAUAUUGGAGACUCUUUUGAUUUGUAAAAUCUUGCAUUCUUAUCAACAUAGAAUGUCUCCAUAACUUCACAGCAAGAAUGGUAAUCAUGACUUCCAAGUCACCCGUAGGGUAAUUCAUCUUAUGAGAUUCCAUUUAUCGUGAAACGUAUGCAAUCACCCUAACAUUUGCAUCAACAUGCAUCCAAUACCAUUCAAGAAACAUCACUAAAAAUUUAUGAUUACCACUAUUCUCUGGGAAUACCAAAAUACGUGCAUGAGUGAGGAAAUACUUCAGUUGUUGAAUCCUUUGCUCACAAUUUCCUUCCCACUCAUACAUAACCUCUUUUCUCAACAGUCUCGUCAAUGACAAAGCAAUGACUGAAAAAUCUUUCACAACCAUCCAAGAUAGCCUGGUAAGCUAAGAAAUUCCGAAUCUCAAUUACAGUUCGUGGUUGUUCCAAUUCCUCAAUUUCUGCUAUCUUUUAAGGAUUCACUUGAAUACCUUAAGAAUAUAUAACAAAUCUCAGAAUGCCACCUGAUUCAUCUAACUUUAGCAUUUGCUACUUAGCAUACAACCGACAUUCUUCCAAUCUUUAUUCCACCGACUUAAUACGUUUACAUGCUCUGCUCUGGCUCAGAAUAUGCCAGAAUAUCUUCAAUGAAAAUGAUAUCUAUUUAUCAAGGCAUUAUUGGAAUACUUCAUCCAAUAACUCAUAAAACAGCAUGAGUAUCCAUAUAGCAUCACCAUAGUUCAUAAAACAAUCUUAAGAACAACGUCGCUCAUAAUCUUUAAAUUGGUAAUAACCAGACCUCAAUUCAAUCUUUGAAUCUUCGCAAUUACUUCUGAGCUGGUUAAAUAAACAUCAGUACAUCACCAUGGAUAACGGUUCUCAAUCGUUACCCGACUCCAUUGUCUAUAAUCAAUGAACAGUCUCAAGAUCCAUUUUCUUCCUCACCAACAAACUGGGGCUCCUCAAAAGUGUUGUACUAGGUUGAAUGAAACUUUUAUCAACCAAUUCUUUCAACUGAAUUUCCAAUUCCCUUAACUCAUCCUGAACCAAUCUCCAAUAUAAAUUUAUACCUGGCAACAAAUCAAUAAUGAACCUCAUAUCUCUGCCUGAAGGCAAUCCAGGUAUACUUUCAAGGAAGACAUCAAGAAAAGUCUAACUCUUUCGACAUUAUUCACACUACUCCAAACAACAUCAUUUAGCACCACAUGAGCUAAGUAUUUUUGACAGUCUUUCGAAAACAAUCUCUUUGCUCUCACAGCAUAAAUAACGGCCUGACUCAAUCCAUUUUGCAUACUUACAAAAGUAAUCUCUGUUCAUCCAGAUCGAUGGAAAGUACUGGUUUCCCAUAACAUUUCGUCUUGUCACAAUUAUAACCAACCAAUCUAAUGGAACAGAAUUAACUGAUACAAUAUAUAUUUUAUUAUUAUUAAGCAUUCCAAAUAAGUACAAUACUAACAUAAAAUAAUCUACCGGGUUGCUUGCUUAACGAAUCCACGAAUGAGUUAUUAAUAUUACGGUCUGCAGCCCGCAAUACUGAUAAAUCAUCGUUGUCUCGAUAAGUAGGCAACCACUCUCAAAGAUAUAACAUUACUAUUUUGUCACUCAAUGCAAAAUACAUACACUCUCAUCUCAACUACAUUUAUUUACUACUCUCAAGGUAAUAACAUACAUAAUAAGAAAUAUAUCAGCCGAAGUCAACUAGAAUGACCAAUACGGCUGAUUCAACUCUUAUCUCAAUAAUACGUCGGCCGGAUCCACUCCGCGUGGUCGGUACGGCCGAGCCUAUAACUCACAAAUUUCGCAUGUGUCAAUCGAAUCCACUUCUCGUGGCCUGUACGGCUGAACAUAUAACUCAUCAAAUCUCUCUGUACUCACGGUCAAUCCGACCAAACUACUAAGUCCAUAACUCUGCUGAAUCGACACUAUGAUAUCAUGGAAAAUUAUUGAGUACAACUGAUUCUAGGGACGAUUCACAAUUCUGUGUCCCCUCUGUUCACAUAAACACAUUCAUUAAUUUCACAUUUCCCAAAGUGUUAAUUUUGUACCUGCUGCACAAGGUACAUUUCUUUUACUCGAGACACCUUGUCUCAAAUAUCUGGGAUUACCAGUAUAUCCAUCACUUUUACUCUGACCAACGACACUAAAACCUCAGCUGGAAGAAUUAACUCUAGCUUCACUUCUUUCGAAGCUCUGAAUCCUUCGAUAUUCUUGAUAUGACGAAUCAUUAACUUUAUCGUCUUCUUUUAAUUCCCAUUCUUUUCUUAUUCCUCUUCACUCUAGCUGAUCAUAUUCUCAGAGUCCUCAAGACUCAACAGCAUCUCGUAUAUUCUUGGUAAGAAGUACAAUGGAUAGUGGUCACCCAAAAUACCACUUCCCUUUUUUGCCACCCAGCUUAAAACAACAUAACACCUCCACCAAAUUAACAACAAUAUCUGGAUGGAACGAGGCAAGUCUGAAAACUUUCUAUAAUAUCCCUCGAUCAUCACCUUCCUUGUCUCAUAUUUGUAAACUCUUGUUUACUACCAUCGAUAAAUGCCGGAGGGAUAAACUUUUCCUUUAAACAAGUCCUUAAACAAUUCUCAAUCGACUGAUUCCUCUGGUGACAACAAUUCAUACUCCUGUUUCCACCAGGAUACAAAUUCAUAACCAAAACCAGGUAGUCGUCUCGACCCCUUGUCAGAAGGAAGAUUCCUUUGACUUGCAUAUUCCGAAACAUCUUUUCCAAUUGGUUAAUCCGUCACUUUGUUCCCUCAGGUUCAUCAUUUCUCUUAAGUGAUUCAAAUUCAACUCAUAACCCGUCUUAAAAUGUCCAUUUUUCUAAUAUACUGAAUCACCAUAAGAAUAGUUUCCCCUAACCCGCUAAAUCAGGGAGACUAAGUUCCUCUAACUACGUGGUUUGCUACGAGGCGGUGUAGUUCUGACAGAAUUCACUAGAACUUCUCAAAAUGUCCAAGAUUGCAACCAUGCUCUGAUACCAACUGACACACCCCGUCCCGAAGGAGGGCAUGCUGGCCGUCACGUGAGAGUGACGUAACCAUUUGCACAGUACGGAAGCUUUAAUUAUACAAUUUAUAAGUUGAUACACCCGAAGGUGAGUCCUAAUUUUGUCCAAUCUGUCAGAACCCCGCUGUAUUCCUCGUAGUCACCACACCUUUGUGAUUCCUGAACCUGGAGGGGCGCAAAACCAAAAUUGAGUGGGUCAGUAAAACAAUUCUUUUCCAAAUCCAAACAUUUCUCAAAACGUUGUAACCCCUCUCUCCGUAAAACCUGUAUACUUUCCCAGAAAUGUAAAAUAUAAAUAUACAUAUAUAUUCUCAAAACUUCAUUUUUACUAUCUCAACAUUAUCUCUUUAUCAAUCAUGCCAUGCCAUGUCAUCUCAACAUUUCUCAUAUUAAUUAUGCCAUGCCACAUCAUCUCAACAGUAAUAAGGUAUGAAUGCAUCAACAUAAUCAUAUCAGGUGCAAGAAAGUAAUCAACCGUAGGCCUUCUAAUAGCCCUAUACGGUUGAACCUAGAGCUCAAAAUCUAUCAUUAUCACUCUACCGGAGUCACCUCUGUGACCCGUCCGGCCUUCUGCACACAAGUUACGCUCUAGUGCUUCUCAUAAAUCAUCUGUGCACAUAAUCUAAGGUCACCCACCAGUCGGAAUCUCACUAACACUCUCGCGACUGGUCUGUCGUACCCACUCCGCGUGGACUGUACGACUAGCAUCUACUUGGAUCCAAGGCGAGCGUGCGAUGCGGUGAAUACUAUAAGCACUAAACCAUGGUGCAGGAUUUGAGCUCAAUAUAUAUCAUCAUCAUCAUAACAGUAAUUAAAUACUCACCUGUGCGUCCACCGCACCAUUUCAUACAUAUGCAUCAUAAAUCAAUUCUUACCUGUGCGUCCACCGCACCAAUUCAUACAUAUGCAUCAUAUAUUAAUUCAUGCAUGGCAUUUCAACUCACAUUUCUAUAUACUUUUCAUAUCAAUUCUAUGCAUGGUAUUUCACUUCCCGUUUUUCCACAUAACUCAUAUGCAUUUCAUUUUAAACAUAAUUUCAUGCAUUUUCAAUUUCUGGGAAAACGUUAAGUAUAUAUAUAUAUAUACGGAAAACAAAACUGCCCACUCACCUGGAGUUCGUCCAACAACUCCCUAGCACCACACAUCAAGGCGUCACGACGAUCGCCGCCUAGAAUAGUAAUCAAAUCCAACCUCAGAAUUCAUAUCGAUAGAAUAUAUAACUUAUAUAAAAUACGUCACUAUGUAGUUCGAUCCGGAAGAUCUGCCACUCAGAUUUUAAAUCCAUAACUUCCAGAGGUCCACAAUAUAUCUCUAGGAUAACAUCCUAAAAUUUCAUUACCAUCCAACGGUCGGAUCUCCGUCAAUUUCCAAAACUAAGUGACGGUUAACAUUUUAUAUUAUGGACUUACAAUUCCAAUUCCGGAAGAUCCGUAACUCGAAUUCCCAAUCCGUAAGUUCCAAUAAUCCUCAAAUAUUACGUAUUACAACGUAUCAAAGUUUGGUGACGAUCCAACGGUCGGAUCAUCAAUUCACAUUUUCACCUAAAUGUGAAAACUAUAAAAACGUUAUUUGAACACCUAACCAACAAUCCUCAAUAACUUUCUCAUACGGUGUUCAAUUUAGGUAUAUGAAUAUACCACAGUGAUCUACUCGACGUCACGGACGUCGACAUAUUUUUAAAAUAAUUUUAUUUUUUAUUUUUUUAUUUUUACUGUAGCACCUUCUUCUUCCUUGGGUCGCCGGACUGGUUUUUCCGGCGGCCGUUUUCCGGGCAGUUUUUCAAAUUGCCAUAACUUUGUCAUUUCUCAACGAAAUCAAGUGAUUCAAAAACGAAAGUUGUAGCCCUUGAAGAGACAAAGAGAAUGGUACCUUUCACAACACCUAGUUCGCCGUGGUUUGGCCGGAAACUGCCUCGAAAGCCUCGGAGGUCGCCGGAAACUGGGUAUUUUUCAAAUGAGUAUAACUUCUUCAAUACUCCACGGAAUUGAGUGAAACAAAAAGGAAAGUUGUAGUACUUGACGAGACGAAGAGAUUGAUACCUAUUUCGACUCCUAACUCGCCGGUUAUUCGCCGGAAAACACCUCGAAAGCUCCGGCCAAACUUUGAACUUGUCGAUCUCCGUGUUCUUACGUCCAAAAACUUCCAACGAAGCACUCCGAGCUUCCUUGGGACCUCACUAAGCUUGCUAUGAUCUUAUUUUGGCCUAAAACACAACCACUUCAAAGAUCAUGAAUAGUACACAUUCACGGGGUCUUUAGAACUAGGGUUUUUCGAAAUGAAACUUACCUGAAAAUGGUACCUACGUGAUCGUGAAGUCCUCAGGGUUGCAAUGGUAGUCUUAACUUGGACGUUGGUAUAGGUUUUAGGUGGUUUUGGUGGUUUUGGUGGUUUUGGUGGUUGCCCGUGCGUUCGAGAAGAAGAGAGAGAAUGAGAGUUUCUGAGGAAGAGCUGAGGAAGAGAGAGAGUAUGAAGGACAGUAUACGGGAAAUGGGGAGGGUUUUGAGGUGUGGGGAUCCCACAUGUCCAAACCAAUCCCAAUUUCAUAAAAUUCCAUCAUAAAAUUUAAGUCUAAGUCUCCACUCCAAUUACCAAAUUUUUUUGGAGCUUAGAUAUAACGAACGUGAAAAUUAUACCUUAGUCACAUAUUAGGGACAUUUCCGUAAUUUCAUGUCCUCGGAAUUAAAAAUUCCGGCACGGGCUGUGACAGCAGGACCCAUGCUGUGGAGCCAAAAAUAAUCAAGAAAAAUAUGAAGGCAACACAUGAACUUUUGGAUAAAAAAAAACAAAAUUACCCUUCAUGCACACUAGGACUCCCACGUGCAUGCAACGGACAAUAAUGGCUCAAUUGAUGUCAAAGGUGAUCAAAAUGGUAUUCUUUUAAAUCCUCUCAUCACUCCUCAUCAAAUUCUCACCCACAAGGUAACUCUCAAUUAUUCUUUGCAAAUUGGGAUUAAUUACCAAAAUUAAUUGAUUAAUUUCCUAAUUGAUUGCAAGGUAUUAUUUGACACAAUAUCUUGCAAUUAAAGCCAAAAAAUACCAUAAGUGGCCGGUCCCCAUUUCUCCAAAUAGGGUCGGCCACACCCCUAUAUAUAGCCCCUCAUUUCUCUAAAAACCUAAGUCCAAUUAUCUUCUAAAAUUCUCUAAACACUUUCUCUCUCAAACUCUAACUUUGGCAUCAAAGAUUCUUUGGCCAAAUCCCUCUCCCCCCCUCCAAUUCAUCGUGGAUGCGUGAGGUUCUUGGCAUUGAUCUUAGGUGUUAAUUGUUUUGCAGGUGCAUUUUCAUCCAAGAAGGAGAAGGUGGAAAUUUGCAUCUACACUUGCGUUCAUCACAGACACUAUUUAUGAAACUGAACACUAUUUAUAAAACUGAACACUAUUAAUAAAACUGAACACUAUUUAUGAAACUGAACACUAUUUAUAAAACUGAACACUAUUUAUGAAACUGAACACUAUUAAUAAAAUUGAACACUAUUUAACACUAUUUAUGACACUGAACAUUAUUUAUGAAAUUGCACUAUUUAUGAGAUUGAACGAUGCUACACUAUUUACUAGUCCAAUUUCAUAAAUAGUGCCUAGUUUUUGUCCACUUUCAAAAAUACUGUCUACUUCUUGUUCAUAUUUCAUAAAUAGUGCCUAGUUAUUGCCAGUUUCAUAAAUAAUGUAUAGUAAUUGAUACAGUUUUAUAAGUAGUGUCUCAUUCUUGGUCCAAUUUCAUAAAUAAUGCCUAGUUAUUGGUCCACUUUCAUAAAUAGUGCUUAGUUCUUGGUCAUAUUUCAUAAAUAUUAUCUAGUUCUUACUCCAGUUUCAUAAAUAGUGUAUAAUCUAGUUUCAUAAAUAGUUUCCACAUAUUGGUUUAGUUUUUAAAAUAACGCUUAAUUCUUGCUUUCACUUCAUAAAUAGUAUCUACUUAUUGGUCUAAUUUAAUAAAUAGUGUUUAUUUUUUUUGUCUAGUUUCAUGAAUAGUACCUACGUAUUGGUUAAGUUUUAUAAAUAAUGUUUUAAUUCUUGUUUUAGUUUCAUAAGAUUUUGCCCUUUUUCUUUUGGUGUGAAUAGAACUUUCCUUGAAUUCGGGAGAGGGAUUAAUGGCUGACAAGACUUGUGGAAAUUUGGUGUUUGAAGAAUCAAUGAAUGGGAGUGCAUCCUGGGUUAAUAUUGCUCUCUACUCCACGGGACUAACUUUUCUUUUCGAGUGCAAAUUUAUUUAUUUAUUUUUGUUUUAUACAACAGUAUACAUUUACAAUAAGAGAAUACAAUAUUAUCGAACUCGACAGUUACACAGUUACAAAAUUCAAACUUAACUCAUUUUCCUUUUAAAGAAAUAUUACUAGAUCGUACUAUUAAGCAGAUGGACUGUUGUUAGUGAAGAAUUGACACUGCUAUCUGAUCAAGACAGUGUUUGUUUUUCUUAAUCAAUGAUAAGCUAAAGAACUUGAGAAGAAAAGAGAUGCUUAAAUAAGUUUCGUGUGAUGAAGAUCCAGCUCUGUAUACAACAUAAUAAGAGUACUUUUACUUCCUCUAAUUGCUCAAAGUUUGGGGUCUCAUGCUAAUUAACCUCAGUCACUGUUGUGCAUAUGACUUUUAUAAUUUUAUCAAAGUUAAGUAAUUGGUAUAAGACUGUCGUCUCCAGUGCUAUAAGAUGGCACCCAGUUAAAAGACAGUUUUUUUUUUUUUUUUUUUUUUUUUUUUUUUUACCAGACGACAGGUAAACCCUCGUUUAUAACUAUUUUGUACUAGUGUAUGCUCCAGCAACUUCGUAAAUAUCAGUUGAUCCUUGAAAAAUCAUCUUAUUUGCAACUUCAUAAAUUUUGCUAUCCUCUACAACUAUGACAAGUUUUUUCUGAAUUAAUACUGUACUAAUCUGUCACACUAAUCUUUGUUUCCUGUAUAUAAAAUAUAAAUAAAGAAAACGUAAGAAAUAUCAUAAUUAUUUCGUUGGUGCAGUGGAAACGGUUCCACUCCAUUUUCAUUGAGGUGGGUAGUUUGAAACACCUUGUAGGCAUUAGUUUUUGUUUUUUUUCAAAUCUAUGAAAUUAAAGAUUAAAAUUAAAGAUAAAUUGCUCUUUAAAAAUUUUAAAAUUACAAGAAUCAAAAGGAGUUAAAAUAAUUCAACAAAUAUGAAUUUUGAAUGAAUUUAAAAUUUUCAACUUUAGAAGAAAAAAAAAACCUCAUGUUAGUGGGUGGUUUAUGUUUAAAUUCUUAUUGUUUUAAAAAAUAUUUUAAAUAAAAAUUGUAUAAAUAGAAAAAACUUGAGUUUCUUAAAUAAAAAACAUACAAAUGCCAAUUGUAAGAAGCUUGAGAAAUUAAUGGCCUCAAUUUGUCCAAAUGCAUUUUUUUUUCUUUUGCUUUUGAAAAUAACCUAAAAAAAUAACAAAAACCAGAAUAAUCAUAACUUUGUAAUCCUUUUUCUUUCAACUUCCUAGUCUUUCUAUUUCUAUUGAAUGUUUAAGCAACUAUCACUUGGUCCUAAAGAUUGCAGUUUGAGGUAACCAUAACUUUGAAUUUAAAUUUUCUUUUUCAAUAAUUUAUUGUUAAACUAGGUUAUUCUAAAAUUUGAUUUGCUAGUGUGUGUUGAUUUUAGAAAGAACACAUGAGAACCAUUUGGCGUUGUUGAAUUAUUAUAUUUGUCAAUCAAGUUUUAUUAUUUUUUACUCUCUUGAUCAUCAAGUUUUAUUGCUCUUCACUCUCAAUCUUAGUGCAUUUGCGUCUAAAGACAUGUGACAUGGAAUAUUAAGUAAUGUUAGUAUAUUUUUUUUCUUUUGAUAUUAAUUUUUAAUGAUAUUCGAUGAAGAAAUAUAUUUUUUAUGUAAUUAGCAAAUUCUUCUUACCACAUACCAAUAUACAAAGAGUCAGAGGUCCGAGAACUUUAGGGCCCCACUUUGAAGACUCGCCUAGGGCCCCCAAAUUCUCAAGGUCGGCCAUGAGAGGAGGGUUGCAAAUGGAUGUGCGGACAUGCCCUCUCUGGUUGUCCUCUUGUCCACAGAACUUUGAGAUCCCCUCUCAUGUGUCCUAAAGUCAAAAAUGUACGUGCAAAAUUGCAACUAGCUUAUGUCAAUGGAGGCUCAUGGGCUCUGUUUCACAAUGAACGUUCAAACCUAAUUCUGGUCCAGUGAGCACUAGCAAUAUAGAUGUUAGUGCAACAGAACUAUAUACAACCAAGCCGAUUGGUCAUGGUCGUCCAUCGAGUUCAAAGGUACAUAUGUGAUAAGGAGACCUACAAAUGCAAUUGCAAAUUGCCAAGCAACCAUUCAUAAAGCAAUUGUCAGUUAUGCUAAACAUCAUUGAAUUGAAUCCAUUGACCUUUACUUUCCAUAUAUAAACAGAAAACACCAUACGACUCUGAAUCUAGCUCAAUCUCAAUCAGGUGCAUUUUUUGAGUGUUUUGUUUUCGGGCUAGAAUGUCCCUCGGAUAACUCCCCUUGUCUUGCCUAAAGGGCAAGGUUCACUGCCUGAUUUUCUGCAUUAUAAGUUUAAAGUCAAUUUGAAAGGUGCCUUUGCGGGGUCUUUAGUAGGCUUUCAGGCUCUCAAUCAACACUAAAAGAAAGCUGAGCGUGCCACUGUUAGCUUGAUCUAACAUAUAGGAUUUUUGGUAUUAAAAUAAGUUAAUUUCUUGCAUCCAUGUUACUUCAACUUCUUCAUUCAAAUUGAUUGUUUAGAUAUGGGUUAAGUCCGUUAAAGGUUCUUUUCUCUACCUUGUAAACAAGGACUUUUGAUUGUACACCAUAUGCCUAGUUAUAGGGAAGUUUAUGUUUGUUCAGGUUGUUAACUUUCUUGGGACCCAACUUUGAUUAACAACAGGGUAAGCAAAAGCAUUUAGUUCAGCGUGUAAAACUUUGAAGGAAACAUUAGAAUCACCAUAAAGAUUAAGGAAAGUACAUAAAAAGUUAGAUCUACAUCACAGAAAUGUAAAUAAAGGAGGUUCGAGCAAGGUUUCAACCUUGGCGGACAGGUUUGUCUCAUUGUUGAGCAUUUCUUCUUGGGUUGUACAAAAAUAGCACUUUCUUUAAUGGAAUAAAACUAAGCAUUUACAAAAAGGGAAUCAAUACUACAAAAGAUCAUGUAGCAGAGCUUCUAAAAAAGACAAAGGAAAGCUUUCUUUGGAAAAAUACAAGGCAAAUGACAGAAAAUAACCGGGUUGUUAAGGGUUCUUGCUAUUGAGUUCGAAUUGUUAAGAAUUCUUUUCACUUGCCUUUCUUACUACUUUAUAGACCUUUAGCCCGAGUGUCCAAUCUUUCCCUUUCUAGUACACUUCUCUCCCAUGUGACUGCCUUCCGUAAGGAUUGAGUCACCUAUUUGCUUUUCAAUUAUUUACCAAAUGCUGGCAUGGAAAAGUGCUUUUCAACUAAGGCAUGGUUGCCUUAUACUCAUUGACACUUCAAUUGUAGGGUUGCUGCCUAUUAGCUGCCAGGUAAUAAUAUUUAAAUAUUCCAUGGGCUACCGCUUUCACCAAAGCAACCAUUAGCCCAAGUUAACAAUUGUUUUGCACAUCUGGGCUUUCUUUGAAUUAAGUCCAAAGCUAUUAUCAGCACAAAUAGUGCCCCUUUAAUCAUUAUUAAGUUUGCUAAUCAAGAUCUUGAUAAUGCUUAAAAUUAAUUAUUUGCCAGGAAUGGGUAUUACCGCUGCUUAACUAGCGUUUUAAAGCAAACAUUUGCACUAACCCACGAUUCCCAAUACUUAGCUACUCAACAAUUAUAUAAGUUGCUCCUUUUACCAAUUUCCUGACCACCAUUUUCAACGAACUCAACUUCCAGCGCUAACCAAUUCCUUAGAAGCUCAAUCUCUUCUUUUUCCUCUUGUCUUAGCUGAUUUCUUGCUAACCAACUUCAUCCAUGGCCCUUAAAUCAUGCCUUGGAUGUGAAUUUGGUGAGGGUAUUGCCAACUUUCGCCACCGACUAAAUGGCCUUCACCAUCCUCGGGCUGGUCUUAUUCUGCCUAUUUUAUUUACAGAAGAUGAUGUUCACUCGAUAGGGCCUACCUAGACUUCUAAAGUACCUAUCGCAGUGAAGAUUAACAUGCCUAUUGCAAAUUGGUUUAUUUCCAACCCCUAGACUGUUGAAGCAGGAAUCUCUACCUUAAAGUGGUUCAACUUCAAGAAGGGUUUCCCUUCCAUGAAGGAUGCAACAUGGUCCAAAUGGGUGGAUGAAUUAAAGCCUAUCUUUAAGAAAAAGUGGAUGUCAAAUGGCAUAUAUGAGCUCAUUAUGAUGUCUAAUACCACCAUUCCCAUCAAGGAUAAGCUUCUCUUGAUAGUUUUCCCCUUUUGGAACACAAAGACCAACACCUUCGACUUCAAGAAGGGUCUCAUGUCCCCUACCAUCCUGGACAUGGGCCAAGUCUUUGGUUUAAAGUUGUCAAGCAAAUGUGUAGAUGUCACGCAAUUGAUCAUCACCCUCUCACGUUACUACUAAAGCUUCAAAGACUUCACAAGCCAUUACUAACAUGUAGCACAUUCCACCACCUUCAAGAGCUAUGGGACCUCCUUCACAGGUUUUAUCCCUUUUGCUAAGAAUAAGUAUAGCUCACCAUCUCCCACUACUGACAGAGGUCAAGAGCACAUGUACUUCAUCUUGUAUUGGUUGAACAAGCAUGUAUUCCCCAAUAAAUUCAAGGGAGUGAAGCUGGAGUGGAUCCCUUUACAAGAGGUUUUGUACUCCUUUGAUGAUGUAGCUACUGGGCCCUUCAUCUUGGCACAUCUCUACCACCUGCUUUAUGAGAUGACAAAGGGCCAGCCCUUCGAGACCAACCUUAAUAGAGCUACCUAGAUGAUCUAGCUUUGGCUACAAUGGUACUUUCCAGAGUUUUGAGCUCCCAACUCAGGAAUUUCUAGAAGGAGUAGCUCAUGCCGGAAUUAUGGUAGAGGCCCCUACCACUAGCCAUUUUACCUUGACCUACUGACACUUUUUUCAGAUUUGUGGGACCAGGAUCAAUUUUGAGUGAUGUGCCUCUGUGCUCAUAAGGUACCCUUGGUUCUCUGACAACCUCUUCCAAGACUCAUUUGGGGAAAAUGCUAAUAGUAAAUGCAAGGAGAACUUCAUCAGCUGCAUCCAUCCAAGAGAUAUGUCUUAAGGAGUAAGAAGUGACCUCUCAAGCUACAAGCGAGGUUGGGAAGUCUACCCACCCAACUUCUCUGGCAGAUAAUUGGGGUUUAGGCAAGCCAUCCUCGUCCCCUUCUUUAACAAUGUUCAAUGUGGGACCUCGUACUGCCUCCAUUCUCCCUCAAAAGUCAUUAUUUGGGCAAGUAGGUAAAGCCUGAAUUCAUGACCAAGAUAGCUCACAAACCUACUGCCCUCAAUUUUGAUUGUACCUCUACAUUCACCACCUUGUAGGAAACCAAGUGGUCUCAGAAUUAUGGUGGAGAUAUCAGAGAAUACCAUGACCGGAUCUUCAGGCAUGUCUUUUUCAAUUCUCUCCCCAAAAAGGAAGAAUUUGAAAGUUGGAAGGAGACCAUCAACCAAAAGAACUAACUUUUGCUGAUAGGUAAACAUUUUUUAUGUUUUUUUUUUUUUUUUGCAUUAAUUUUGUAACACUUCUGCAUAUUAACCACUUUCAAUCUUGGUAGCUCAAGGCAAUCCCAAGGAAGUAGUUGUCGGGCCAAAAAAGGAAGCUGGAAAUGAAUUAGUUCUUCAAGAAGUUACUGCAACAACAACUAUGCAAGAAGCAAGCUCUAACCAUGCCCUUGAAGACACUGAGAACAUUUAUGAGAUGUUCAGUGAAUCAGAGUCUAAAGUUGGGCCUGAAGCAAACACUAAAGCUCCUUAUCGAGCAAGUCCUUCAGCCAUUAAGUCCUCUGAUUUUGAGCCUGAGAGACGAUCAAAGGCUAGGCAUGUUGUCUCUACUCUAGGAGCUUCCCCUCUUAGGAAGACAACCAAGUCUCAAACCUUUCAAAGAACAACUGCUUCUCUAGCAGAAACAGGCAGGAAAAAGCUGAAGUCUGCCAGUAAGCAAUUUAACCUCUAUUUGGCCUCUUUCUUUUUAUUUUUUUUUAAUUUCAACUUACUGUGCCAUUCCCUGUGAUAGGACCUACUACCAAUAAAAAGCUUGAUUCUCCUCCAAAGGAAACAAUGACAAGUUUGGAGGAGAAACAGAGUGAUACAAAGGUCAUCUCCAAAGUCUUAAGGGACUUGAAGGUAACUUCUGUUCCAAAUCCUUGUGCUUUAUUCCUUUUGAACUCUUCUUCUUUAUAAACUUGACUUAAUUUAUUCUUCUUAAUAGACCUCCAAAGCAAGAGGAUCUUCACAAGAUAAGCCAUCUUCAUCUUCUUCCCGACCUGUGCGCACUUCUUUUCCUCAAGCUGAGCCUUCAGAGGAAACUUCUCUUCUUAGGAGCUUGACAACUUUGAUGUUUGCUUUGAAAUGUUGACAUUGUUGUUGUUGUCUUUUCAGGCAUGGAAGAACACCCUACCCCCAAAGGUCGGGCAAGAACCAACUACUUCUUCUUUUGUUCCUCUAACGAUCUCAGUAACUCCUACCUCCCAAUUCAACCCUACAAAAUGUGAGCUGGUCCACUUCUUAAAAGAUGAUAGCACCACCUCUGUAAGUAUCUUAUUUCCUUGUGCAAUCUCAAUUUGUUCUUAUUUUCUUCUUGCACUUAUCUUUGACUUAUGCCUUUGUUAAUUUUCCCCUCUCCCUGAAGUCACCAAAUUUACCAUCUCAACUGCUAAUGCCCUAAAAGUGCUUGAGACCUAGUUACUUAAGAGGAAACAAUUCCCAAGGCCCCUUAUCAAUCCAGCAACUUCUGGAAAAUUUGUCCCUUCAAAAGCAGCAAUAACUGUUGGAAGUUUGCCCACAAAGCCACUCAUUUGAUGUAAUAGCUUUUCGGAAUACUUAAUGUAUUAAACUUUUAUAUGUUCAAUAGAGGGCAAAUCUUAUUGUUAAUCACUAUUUAUUGUAUCAUGUGUUUAAGCAAUAAGGGAAUCCAAGGAAUGUAUUUGAUCUAAGAGAUAAGUGAUCUAAGUGAGUUAGAUUAUCGAGACCAUUCUCUUAUGUUCAUUCCUAAAACGUUCCUAGCCAUAGGAUUGCCAAUUGGGCAUUGACAAUCCGUUAAGGUUAGUAUGUGUUAUGUUGACUCAAGCGUGAGCAUGACUAGUCUCAAGUCAUUUGGUGUUGGACACUAAGACAAACACAUAGGUGCUCGAAAGAGUAAUCGAGUACACUGAACAACGAUCAAAAGAGAGUUCGAACAUACAUGUCAUGUAAGAACUCUAAAGUUGCAAUAUGCAAAGUAGUCCUUUGACCUAAGGCAUCAUAGAUGUCUAAUGGUUAGGUCCUUGAUCUUUGAUCAUGUCAAACGGCAUUCCAUCGGAGUGUCCACGGCAUUGUUGGGGUUAAGCUAUCUAGUCAUGUAGGCAUAUGAAUGCACAACAAGGGAUCUCUAACCUUCCAUGGUGGAAGGAGAAUACUCUAAGAUAUGAUUCUAAAGUCUUUGGCCAAAGCAUAUGAAUAUGACUUAGGAAGUUUGUUCCAAAUCAUAUUCAAGGGAAUCAUAUAAAGAUGUAUCACAUUGGAUAGUAGACAUGAAACAAACUAUCACUCAAACAAUGUGAUUAAGAGUAUUGUAUUAGAGAAUGACCGUAUUGCAUUGUAGUUGCAACUGGAUAGGUUCUCCAACCAAUUCUACUUAGCUUGGGUAACCAUGACAUACUGCUAGGUGUCACUCAUGGUUUGUGGAAGCCCUAAAUGAUUAGCAAACACUAAUCAUUAAGGGAAAAUUGAAAUGUGGUUUCAAUUUCACAAUCGAUCGUUAAGAGUAACAAUCGCCCACUACCUCGCUAAUUGGAACCUAAUGGAUCGUACACCGAGUAAGGAUGUAUGUGAAGAAAUCAAAUGAAAUGGAUAAGCAAUUAAAUGGUUUAAUUGAAGAAUGGUCAAGAUUAAUUAAUUAGUUAAUUAAUUUUACGAAAAGGUUCGUGUUGGGCUUAUAUGUUGGUUUUGGGUUUCGGGGCCGAAAAGCGUUUUGGUCCAAAAAGCCCGUUAUGUUUAAGUUGUAUGACAACUAAAGCAAAAUGGGCAAAUAGCCCAAUAACAUCAAAGAGGCCGGACAUUAGGGUGGAUGGGCAAACUUGGAUUAAUUACAAGUUUGCCACUCACUUGUAAUGAAGUAUAAAUUCAACUUUAUAGCUUUAUUUUCAAAAAGGGUUUUCUUAAAGAAAUUGGGUGAAACACUUUCUCUCAUUUUUCUCUAAAGAGGCCGGCCACUUAGGGGAGGGAUAUCUAGCAAUCUCUUCUUCCCUAAGUCAUCCAUAUUAUCUUCACAAAAUACAUCCUUGGUGUGGAGACUUAGAGACAUCAAACUUUUGGUGUUUUGGAGAACAAAUCCUCAAAUCCUCAAAGAAUCAAAGGAGCACAAAAAGGAGGAAAAUCACAAGGAAUAUUCAAGGAGCUUGGAGUUGACUUGAAGGCCCUCCACUUGGGUGAAUCCCUUGUGUAAACAAGGAUGAGCUUCAAGGG
rnacentral:lncRNA from 1 species